AUUUACAUAUGGUAGCUACCAAAGACCAUUAAGGACUGUAUGAUGCAAUACCACGUUUCAUUAUGAAUGUCGACAAAACAUAUUAUUGGCCAAAUUAGAUAGAGGCAAUUCCAAUAAACUGAAUAUAUGAAACGUGAUGAGAUAAUUAGACCUUUAACCCUACAUGAUACAAAAGGGUAUUAAUCACAGUGAAAAUAAAUCACUAUGACACAAUGUCUACAAGAGACAUGGGGAUUACAAAUAUCUUUCCUUAUACGUGAUAAUUUUCUGUAAGUACAGUGUUACAUAUAUAUAUUUAUUGACGAGAGACUUACGACAGUUGUCAUUAUAUAUUAUGAGAAUCUUAAAAGACUUUGCUAAAAACAAAAUCCUAAAAGUAAAGAGUUAUUAUAAGCGUAUCGCUUAUCAAAUCCUCAAAGGAUCCAAGUAAAUGAAUGAUUCGAACGUAAAUCGAUCCAUAAAUACUUGAGAGAGUCUGAAUGUGAGAUUCCUCAUCACCUAACGAAAAUGACGUAAUAUGCUUUAUACAUACAAACAAAACUCUCAUUAGUGAGACGUGUUUUGGGUUGGAACCCAAGAACAAAGCCAUGAGGGGAAAGCCCAAAGGCGAGCAUAUCUUGUUAUGCUGGGCUGUUAAACUAAAGUUAACUCAUGCAAUUGAUAGUUUAAAGCUAGCUCAUAUAUAUUCAUUAUGUUAUAGUUAACGUGAUCAAAAUUGCCUCAAUGAGUAUUAUGAUUGGACUACAAAACCAGAUUCGGAUUAUGUUGCUACAUAUUUGAACUUUCGCGAAGUUAUGAAUUGCUUAGAGUUCUUGAAGAGCAUAUACGAGAUGUAUCAAUAAACAAAGAUAUUGAUAUGAGUGGCUAGAUAUGCCUUGCUGAUCUUCCAAUGGUUUGAACAAUACAUAGUAAUGUGUUCAUUAGCUUUUACUGCUUAGUUAUUACAUAGUAUAUGAAUUUGAACAUGUGAGGUUGUUUCUAACAUUACUAAAUGAGGUAAGACCUAAUAAAAGUUGUGGUUGGUAUUGCCUUCACUGUGCAGGUAUGAAGAUCUUGUGAUGAGCCCCUGUAUGCAAAACGAACAAGAUCUCACUUCAGUGAUAGACAAAUCAAACCGUUAUUUACUGUACAUGAAGCUUGCAACAAUCAGGAGGAGAAUCUCAUCAGGGGGAGCAUCCAGAAGUAUGCUACCUAGGACAUAUGCGCGUUGCAUUAUUUUUCUCCUUCGACCAGGGUUCUUUUUUCCCACAAGGUUUUUAUUACCUGGCAAGGUUUUUAACGAGACAACACUAAACGCGUCCAACAUCAGAUUAUUAAUGGAUAUCCAAGGGGGAGUGUUGUAAAUAUUACAAUAUAUGUGGAUGUCCUUGUAAAUACUCAUUAGUUAUGUCCUUAAGAUGUAAAUCAUACUCCUAUAUAAAAGAGCUUAAUGAGAAUGAAAGUGACACUUCUUCCUCCUCCUACGUUAUGCUUCUCUUUUCUCUCUAUCUCAUUCUUAGUUUAUAUCAAUUUUAAUAUUUAUCAUAUGAACAUCAUGAUUUAUAAAAAUAGAUAGUAAAUAAUUUAUAUGGACAUGAAGUUAUUUUUAUGGUUUGUAAAAAUAACCAAAAGAUAAAUUAUAGUAUAAGAAGUUAGUUUUAGUUUCAUGUCCAAAUUGGUCAUUCUGCAAGCUGGAAGCACUUUUAGUUUUCAAUUUACCAAACACCUUCCACUGCUUUUAGUACUCACAACACCUAUUAAAAGUCAGUUUACCAAACACCCAGUUAUACUUUACUUAUGAGUCAUUUAUUCUCAAGAAUAAGUAAAAAUUAACUUUUUUUAUAAGCCCAGCUGCACCAAACGCAGCCUUAAAAAAUAAGAAAGUUCUACUCAAGCUAUAAAGAGACAUGUGAUUGUUGGGACUCGAACUUAGGUGGGGUUCGAUAUAAAGAGACAUAACACAUAAGUCUCCCAUCCGGAAGGAAAUCACCUGUCCCCAAUUUGCCCUGUGCCAGAUAUGUUCCAUCAAUAAAAUUGUGACAUGUGGAAUUCCACUUUACAGCAUCUAACGAAGUCUGACUCCGUGAACUCUCUUCCUUCUAUUUCUUCUCCUCUUCUUCAUUGUAAUUUCAGAAAACAAAUUGGCUGAAUUAAAAUGAAAUUUGCGAGAUGCUCUCGCGUUUGGGUUGAAACUCUUGGGGCCAUGAAUUACGGCCCGUGAUUUCUUGUCAUGUGAUCAGGAAUGCGUCAUUUGGGGCAGACCCAAUAUGUCAUUGACAUCGAUUCUAAAUUUUCCCCAAAUUCUAGGGUUUAGUUUUUCUAGUUUCUCAAUACAAUUAUCUGGAGAUUGAUAUAAACAAACCGUUAUGACUCAUGCAUAACAAACUUUGGUUUGAUAUUAGAUCUGAAAUUCUUCAACAUCAUGCUGCAUUAAGAGUUUCUACUGAUGAUGUUGACGGGGAUUGGAUAUAGAAAAGCUGUCAUGGGUUUGAUAACAGAGAAACAAGGAAAAAUCUCCGUUGAAUACAUUGGGAAGCCAUGACUGAACUUCACAAUCCUUUCGAAGGUGGAACGAUGAGAACCAGGAACCCAGAAGCAUUGAGUUGAAUAACUUUUUGUUUUCUGUAUUGUUCUUGGAUAAAACAACACAGGUUAACAUUAAUUUAAGAGUGUUAAACUGUUGUUUAAAAGAAGACACUGUGGCAAAGUAUUAUUGGUGGCACAUAGUUGGCAUAGGGUUAGUCGGUACAGGUGAUUUACUUCCCUCACAUCCCACAUAACACUUGCUUGAUAUAAAUGUUGGGACUCGAAUUUAGGUGGGGUUCUACUAAAGCAAGUUGCCUUGUCAUUUGCCAAACUUGCCAAACCUAAUUCUAAUUGGCACAGUUUUGGAGUUAUUUAGUUGUUUUAGCCUUCUAGGUCCAUAUUUAGUUGGGACUCGAAUUUCGGUCAAGACUCAUGUUCUUUGUUUUUUUUUUUUUUUUUAUGAAACAAUACUUAAUCUGUUGGUCACAAGCAUGUUGCGUCUCUUCCUAUGUAUCAGUCUUGUAUAUGUUUUCUACGAAGAAAAAAUAAAAUAAAAAAUGUUUUCUAUGAAGAAAACACAUACACCCACUACCAUUGAAAUCUUCGACAUAAAGAAUUAAAGAUUGUGUCUUCUCAAGUUUAAUAUAUAGAGGUCCUCCAUUCUUUAUGAUCAUCAUAAAUUUAAACAACUUUUUUGUGAUGCUACCCACUCUGAUAAAGGUAGGGAUUGCAUUCUUAGCUGAAUGGUUUAAGGAGUGUAUAGUGUGAGACUUCAAAACCAACAGAAUUACACAUUAUCAGAGGCUAAUUUUACUUGCACUGUCACACUUCAAUCACUUCGAUGCUCUGUUUAGUAAUUACAAUCCCCCGCUACAUGCUUUAGACAACAAUUCUAGUAUCAUUUGAAUCUAAACAUUGAUUUAACCAUUAUGAACAAGAAGAUUGAAAAUACAUACCAUCAAUAAUGGCUGUGAAGAUUGUUGUAAAAGACCCGUAAAAUAUGAAAUGUAGGAGUUCUGUAUCUAUGUAUAUUCACAUAUACAUACCAUCAUCAUCCAGCCUGAUACAACCAAGUUUACUACAUCAUCUAAACACAUAAACAGGAAAACCAAGCUAUUUGCAGAUUGCAAUCAUGAUCACAAGUUGUAGCUGUGCUUGGUCCUUGGAACUGCAAGCAUAGGGAGAGAACCAUCGAUGUGAAGGGUGAACAUGGUUCUGUAGGUUACAUUUUUUGUUUCAUCAGCCAAUUUGAAGCGGAAGGAGUAAAGAAGAGCAGUUGUUACUAUCUUCAUCUGUCGGUAAGCAAAGUCCUUUCCCAGACAGAUCCGAGGGCCUGCCUGCAAAUAGCACAAGUGAGCACUUCAGUGAUCAAGAUAUGUGACUAUGAAAUGUGAUCAAGAUAUGUGACUAUGAUACAGACAUGAAAUGUGACAAAUUUGAAAGUUGAUUCAGGCUGGAAAACUCCAUCGUUGAGCCAUCUUUCAGGUCUGAAAUCCUCAGCAUCUUGUCCCCAAAUAUAAGGCAUUCUCCCCAUGGCAUAGGCCAUGUAGUUUAUUCCAUCUCCUUUUUUCAGUCUGAAGCCAUCAGGAAGAAUGUCAUCCUUCUCUGCACAUCUUCCAUCCUUAGAGCCAAAGACACAAACAUAACAAUGUAUUAUUCAUUGACCUUAAUUUCGAUACAUGUAAUGUAUCGAAGUCAAAAUCUGAGUAGACAUACCACGGGAACUGCAGGGUAUAGCCUCAAGGUCUCAGUUAGUGUAGCAUGAAGAUAAUGAAGUUGGUCAAGAGAUGCAUCAGUUAUUUUCUCCACAAAUGCAUCAACGUCUUCUUCUUGAUCACCAAUUACAUCCCUCACUUCUUGUGCAACUUUUUCUUGUAUAAGAGGGUGCUUGCAUAGCAUGUAGAAGAACCAUGACAGUGUGUUUGCACUGGUAUCUUUCCCAGCAAUCAUAAAAUUCAGAAUUAUGUCACUUAGAUACUUAUCAUUCAUCUCCUCUGGAUCCUUCUCACUCUCCAAUAGGAAUCUCGAGAGUAUGUCCUCCUUGUCAUUCUUCGAAACAUCACAGAAUCCAAGGCUACAUCAAUUUUCAUAUGUACUAUUGAAAUCAUGUAGCUAGAGAAAAAAAUGGGACUGAAAUAUAGAAAUUGUGACAUGGGGUAUGUCUAACUAUUUAACCAAAGACACCAGCCACCAGGCAAAUCUUAAGUUGAUGCAUUAAUCCAUAAAUUCAGAAUUUGAAACUUCAAACUGAACAAUUUAAGAACUUAUAGACGAUAUGAAAUCACUUUCAAACCCAGAGAGCAAGAACUAGAAUGACAAUGCAAAAGAUAUAGACUUACACCAUCUUUCUUCAAAGCUAGCAAUUCCCUCUUUCUCUUGAUCUGUUGGUGGACAAAAUCAUGAAUGACUUUGACAUGCUUUCUAAGGGAAGCCUCACAACCAAUAUUGAGAAACCUUUUCAAUUGCCAGAAUGGAUCAACAUAUCUCCAAUAGGUCAAAGCAGUUGACUCAUCAAAUGCCUUCAUAAAAUCUAUCCCUUCUUUGCUUAAACCCUCCAAGCAAUUCAGAUCUAUUCCAAACCCAACUUUAAAUACUGAAUCCAAAGUACAUCUCAUAAGCAAAUCCUACAAAACCAUUGAAACCAUAUGCCAAAAUAUUGUAAAUACUAGCCGGAGACUAAGCGAUCGAGCUAGUUUACCAGUCUACCUCUGUAUCGAAUUAGUCUAAUUGAUGUAUCUAUACAUUAAUGAACAAAACGCAACUUUGUACUUACAUGACCAAGAAGAAAGUGACUGACCUGCAUAUCAAAACUCCCAUUUGCAACAGAGUACUCUGAAAUAACUUUGACCAAUUUAGCACCAUUUCUUCUGAAAACAGAGCAGCUGAAAUCCCUUAGCACUCUCGUCGAAAACUCGAAACUGGCAAGCUUCCUCUGCUGCUUCCAUUUCUCUCCAUCAACAACAAAUAUCCCCUUGCCAAAGAUAUCAGACAUAAUACCAACAUGGUAAUCACCUCUCGUGUAAUUGGCGAAGUUGGUUUUGAGAACAUGUUCGACGUUUCGGGGGUCGGCGGUGUAGACUUCGCUGUGCACCGGCGCGAUAAGCCGGUAAGUUGGGGUGUCUCGGGUGAUUGUGGUUUGGUGAUCGUAGAGUGUGGUGAAGUAGAGGAGCUGGUGGAAGACGGUGCCUUUGACAGGUGGGUAGUUUGGGUCUUUGAGAGAUUUGCCGGUGAAGAUUCUGAGUAUGAGAAACGACACGAAGGUGAGGAACAGAAAUGUGAAUGUGAAGAUGAGAUAGAGGAAAGUCAGGACACCCAUUCUUUUGUCUUGGUGAUCAGCAGCAGAGGCAGCGAUAGAUAUAUAUAGAGGAAGUGAAACGAGUAAGAAAGGAAAGUGACACAUAUGGGGAAAAAACCAAAACUUCUAUUUUUAGUAAAUGGAAACCUAGGUUCCUCUUCCACCUCAAAGCCAACUAGCCAAGGAUUUAAUUUGUCUAAAACUAUUUUCUGUAAUUUCAUGAUUAACAUUUAAAGCUGGUCAAUAUUUUUGAAGCUAGUAGUAUUAAUAUUGACCGGUAUUUAUCGAAGUUCAAACGAUGUUGAUAACAUGUUAAAACACAAAAGUUUUUAUCAACUCGACCAGAUUUUUUUAUCAAAUCGACCAGAUAUUGUGUUGUUCACGAUUUUGUUAUAAAAAGAUUAACGAGCAAACUACGCAAUCAUUUAAGUGUCUUCAUCGUAAAAUUUGGAUAAUGUCACCCUCAAAGAUUGGAUAUGAGCUUCCGAAAAGGUCAUGAUCCAAACGGUCAUGAUCCAAAUAUGGUUUGUUUAAGUACCAAUACACAAGACAAUGAGAGCAGCUGAGAAGAUACUUUUGUCUUGGGGCAAAAUGCAAGAAUUAAUUGUCUAUGAGUGUUGACAUAGUAGCUUUGUGUUCCCAUUGCUAAUCAGCUAACAUUCUUUGAGAAAUUCUUAAGUGUAACAGCCGCACCACCUGACACAUGCGCACCAAAUCACCCUUUAACACCUAUUUUUCUUUUUUUCUUUUUUCACACCUGCUUUCUUCUUCUUCCUCCUCCUUUCUCCAGCGGAUCUUCUUCCUUUCUCUGAUCAGAAACCGAUCCCCCACGAUCUUCUUUUCCUCUGCCCAGCCGCCACCUUUGCAACCCCCGCCGCCUCCACCGUAAAGGAAGAAGAAGCUUCGCCGGUUCACCGGAGGAAGGAAGAAGAAGCUUCGUCGGGGAAGAGGAAGGAAGAGGACGCCUCCACCAACCCGUGUAAGUUUCGUCGGAGGAAGAAAGAAGAAGUGCCGGAGCAGAGGAAGGAAGAGGAGGAAGAAGAAUGCAAGUGAGGGGGUUUUGGGGGAAAAAAAAAAACAUGUGUCGUUGUGUGACUGGUGGGUCGCACAAAACACGUGGUGCAUUAGCCGCACCUAAGACUCUCUCCCUGAUCUUUAGUAAUCGAUAAUUCAAAUUAAAGGUACGGUCACGAUCUUCCGAAGAGUGUACAUGAUCACUUCCAAAACUUCCUUGCGGAUAAAAGAAUUCAUAAAAUAAAGUAGCAACGUUGCAAUAUAUAUAAUAUAUAUAUUUUUUUUUUUCUGAGAAAAUCUUGGGGCAAACGUACCAGGUGGAUGCUGCGACCACCCAAUCACAAGCCGCCACAUUGCCCUUUUUUUACAUGUCAUCUUGCUGAAAAGAGCACCAAAAUCUCAAAUCCCACUCAAUAUCUCUCGUUCAGUUGCCCUGCUUCACAGAUCUCACCCUUUCCGAUUCACCGAUUCAAAAUCCAACCAAAAUCCCCAUACCACCACCACCCGUGGUCGUCUAUCACCAUCCGAAUCUCCAUAUUCCAACCCGUCUACCUCCGAUUCAUAACCGUAUUAUAAUAUUCCAACCCAUCCACCGCCGCUGCCGCCUCCCUCGUCUAUCUCUCCCACGUCUUUCAGUACCUAGCCGAAGAAGAAUGCGAAAGGGAAGGGUGAGAUUGGACCUAUGUAUCUGGAAUUCUAGAUGGAUUUAGGUUUGUUUAGCUUUGGUUUCUGAAAAAUUCUGUGGCUAAAGAACAAUUAUUGUACUGGGUUUCUUCUAAAGUUCUAGUUGCAAUGAAUGAGUUUCUCCGAUUCAAAGUUCAAUGAAUGUUUUUUUUUUUUUUUUUCUGAAAAAUGUGGGUUUCUGGGUUUCAUCUACAACUCGGGCUGCGAGAUUUUAAAAGAUAAAUUGAGAUUUUGAUGGUUUCUCAGCUUGCUGGUGUGGAAAAAAAAUUAAUACGUGGCACUUGUUGAAUGGCUGGUCGCAGGAUCCAGCUGGUGCGUUUGACGCACGAAAGAUUUUGAUAAAAUGGCACUGCACCUAGGUCUUCUUUAUUGUUUUUAUAUGGUUUUCGUCUUAUUAUUAUUUCGUUUCAAGAAAUCAAGCGGUGAGUUUUUAUUUAUAAUGCUACAAAGGUGAGCAAAGACUUACAAACAUGCACCAUCACUGGCACCUUUAUUAUUUUACAAAUAGGCUCAUAAAUAUCAAGAGCCUAUUUACAAAUAGGCACAUUUUUAUAGGAGAGUAUUAUUGUCAUGAUGAGUUAUGAUUCCCAUUUUUAGAGUUUUGUAAACACAUGAAUAUGAAUGAAUUCUUCUUCUAUUUCUCAUUUUGAAUGAUAAGUAAACAAAAGAAUGGGAAUUACUCAUUCUCUCUCCCAUUCACUUUCAGUCCCAUUCAUUCUAAAUCUCAUUCAUGUUUAGUAAACAUGCCCUUGUAGCAUUAGAAACAAAAACUCGCUACUUGAUUUCUUGAAAUGAUAUAAUAGUAGGACCUCACUUGGUGUAUAACCUACAAAAACUCGCUACUUGAUCUCUAUUGUUCCUGAUAUAUGUUUGAUAAGUUGAUUUAGGCUUCAUUAUCUUCUGGGGAGCUAUCUGCAAAAGAGGCAUUCCAAUUUUUGCGCCCACAUUUACCAUCUUUGGAUUGGGGUAAGCUCACAUGGUCUAAAUUCAUCAUUCCCCGUAUUUCUCUUCAUUCUUGGAAAGUGUUAAGGGGUAAGGUGUUAUCCAAGGAUUUACUACAACGUCGUGGGAUUGCUUUGGCUUCUCGCUGUGUCCUUUGUGGUAGGGAUGGUGAGUCAUUGCCACAUAUCUUUCUGACUUCUUUUGCUGCUUCACUAUGGAACAAUUGGGCUUGCUUAUUUGAGUUAGGAUGUCUACCUCAAAAUUUGGUUGAUCUACUAUAUUAUGGGGGUGUUGGACGUAGUCAUCAGCUCAAGAAGAUUUGGUUAAUAUGUUACACCACUACCUUGUGGUUUAUCUGGAAAGCAAGGAAUAAAAUGAGGCAUGAUAAUUCUACUAUUGUUGUAGAUGCAAUACGUCAGCUAAUUAUGGGUCACGUGAAAGUAGCUAGCAAAUUAGCCUCAGGUUGCAUGUCUAAUUUUUUAACAGAGCUCUGGGUUUUGAAGAAGUUUGGUUUAUUAUGUCGUCCCCGUCGGGCUCCAAGGAUUACAGAGGUUAAUUGGCAUCCUCUUCUCUUUGGUUGGAUUAAAGUCAAUACCGAUGGUGCAUGGCAAAAGACUAUUGGGAAAUCUAGUUAUGGUGGAAUUUUUAGAGAUUUUCACGGCUCUUUCCUUGGUGCUUUUGCUUCAAACCUUGAAAUUCCUAACUCGGUGGAUGCGGAGGUUAUGGCGGUUAUUCAAGCUAUUGAGCUGGCUUGGGUUAGGGAUUGGAAGCAUAUUUGGCUUGAGGUGGAUUCAACAAUUGUGCUUAAUUUCUUGCGGGAUCCUCAUCUUGCUCCAUGGUGUUUGAGAGUAACAUGGGGUAAUUGUUUGCACCGCAUUUCUCAGAUGAAUUUUCGAUCUUCUCAUAUCUUCAGGGAAGGUAAUCAGGUGGCAGAUGCUCUUGCCAAUAUGAGUUUGUCGAUGUCUGCAUUAUCUUGGUGGGAUGAACCUCCCUACUUCAUUUGGGGCAUGUAUCAACGAGAUAAGUUCGGUCUCCCAAAUUUUCGUCUUCAUUGACUUGCUUUAUAGUGUAGUUUGAUGUCUCUUGUUUGGUGUUUUCGGGUACUGGCUUUAGUGUCAUCCAACUUAAUUGUAAUCUUUCUUUUUUAUUAAUAAAUUUGAGGUGGGAGAGCACUCUUCUCUACCUAGCUCCUGUUGACUAAAAAAAAACCUAUAAACCAAAAAUCAAAUAACUAAUUUCAAAUUAUUACUCAGGCAGAGGAACUUGAUAUCUACAUCUUGUCCUUGACAUUAACGCUAGCCUUUCAGAGUUUCAGUGGGGAGCCAAAGAUUAUAAAUGGGGGGCGCCACUAUUAAUCCAAGCAUGAACUCAUUUGAACCAACUUACAUAGAAUAAAAUCAUAAAUACAUACACAAGCCAAAAUGUGGGGAUGCUCAACCAAACUCAAGGAAGUUCCCAUGACAGGUUUGAUUUUUUGAAGGAACCUCAAAAACAUCCUUCUCAUUUAAUUUUGUUUUUGUUAAUUCAUUCAUGAGAGGUUUUGGUCCCUUUUUUAUUAUUCUUAUUUGAUCAAUAAGACUGGAGAUUCAGCUUAUCCACUCCUAUCCUAGAUAUUCCACCCAAGAACAAAAGAGUUGGAGAUUCAUUUCCAAACUGUGAGGGUCUCAUAUCAGAGAUCGAUGAAGAUCAUGUCACACUCAUGCUAAUUUGACAAAAAUCACAUUAUUAGUUAACCAAUCUGGGUUUAAUUAUUUUAUACUACUAUCUGGUAAAUAAUAAUACAGAGAAAAUUAAGGGUCACACCCAAAACUGAAAUCAUAUACUGUAAGACCUUAACUAAGGGAUACUAAAACCCUAGGCUACGGUUCACACUAGCUCCAGUAGUCUAGCUAGUCCAUACAAGAGAACAUUACUUUACUUAAUUGACAUGCAAGGAACUCUAUGUUGUUCUCAGAAUUGCGCGCAUAGGAAGACCUCCAUUCAUGUGCAGGGUGAAUGUGGUCUUGUAGGUUGCGAUUCUUGUUUCAUCCACCAAUUUGAAGCGAAAGUAGCACAGAAGUGCCAUUGAUACAAUCUUCAUCUGCCUGUAAGCAAACUCUUUCCCUAUACAAAUCCGAGGACCAGCCUGUAAACUAAAGCUAUCAGUAAACGUUUAGACAGCUUAAGAUAUGAGAUAAAGCAAGAGAAACUGAGAGUAACUGAGACCAACAUGAAAUGAGACGAAUUUGAAAGGGGAUUCAGGUUGGAAAAUUCCAUUUUUGAGCCAUCUUUCGGGUCGAAAAUCCUCAGCAUCUUCUCCCCAUAUGUAAGGCAUUCUUCCCAUGGCAUAGGCCAUGUAGAAUACUCCAUCCCCUUUUUUGACUCUAUAUCCAUCAGGAAGAGUGUCAUCUGUGUCUGCAGUCCUCCCAUCCUUUUAGUAACCCGAAAACACAAACAUAUGAGUAUCGAAAAUUGACAAUGUUUUACGCAAUACAAAUAAGUGUUUACUUUGAUUAUUUGAGCAUAGAAAUUAUCAGGGCUUUGUACAACCAUAUCUACAAGUAUCCCAUUGCAAAACCAUAACAUACCACAGGAACUGCAGGGUAUAGCCUCAAGGUCUCUGUCAGUGCCGCAUGAAGAUAGUGCAUUUUUUCAAGGCUUGUAUCACUUAAAUUUUCCACAAACUCAUCGAUAUCGGCUUCAUGAUUCAGACCAACAGCAUCCCUCACUUCUUCUGCAACUUUUUCCUGGAUCAGAGGGUUCUUGCAAAGCAUGUAGAAGAACCAUGAGAGUGUAAUUCCACUUGAAUCCUUGCCAGCAUUCAUAAAACUCAGAGCUAUAUCCCUUAGAUACUUAUCAGUCAUUUCCUCUGGCUCCUUUGCGCUCUCCAUUAAGAACCUCGAUAGUAAAUCGUCCUUUUCAUUCUAUAGAAGUAAGAUUGAUGAAAUUCAAGAUCUUGAUUAAGUAAAAUGAAAGAAAACAUUAGAAUGUGUUAUAUAGUUUCACUUACAACAUAGUUUUCACCAGCUAUCAAUUUCCUUUUGCUCCUGAUAAGUUGGUAAACAAAGUCAUCAAGUACUCUGGCAUUCUGUUUAAGCGUGGCUUCCGAUCCGAUACAAAGAUAUCUUUUCAAUUCCCAGAAUGGAUCAGCAUAGCGCCAAUAGGUGAGAGCACUUGAUUCAUCAAAUGCUUUCAUAAAUGCAAUGCCUUCUUUGCUUGAGCCCUCCAAGCAGUUUAGUUCUGUUCCAAACCCAACUUUGAAUAUGGAAUCUAAAGCAGAUCUCAUAAACAAUUCCUACAACAUUAAACAGUCAAAGUAAAAGACUUAUGCAACAAUUUAUAUGAUGUAUGAUAGCUAGCAAGGUGUUAGUCAAAUUCGGAUUAAUUACUUACUUGCAUAUCAAAAACCCCAUUUUCUCUAGAAAACUCUGAAAGAGCCCUGACCAGUUUGGCAGCAUUUCUUCUAAACACAGAGCAGCUAAAGUCUCUAAUAAUUCUCGUCGAAAACUCUAAACUCGCAAGCUUCCUCUGCUGCCUCCACUUUUCUCCAUCAACAACAAAUAUCCCUUGCCCCAGAAUAUCAGACAUAAUGUCAUGGUGAUAUUGACCUUUCGAAUACUUAGUAAAGUUGGUUUUCAAAACAUGCUCGAUGUUUCGAGUGUCGGCCGUGUAUAUUUCGCUUUGUGUUGGGGAAAGUAGCCGGAAAGUUGGGUGGUCUCUGGCAACUUUGGUAUGGUAGUCAUAGAGUUUGUUGAAGUAGAAGAGACUGUCGAAUACAGUGCCCUUUACAGGUGGGUAGUUUGAGCUCCUGAUAGACUUGCCUGUGAAGAUUCUAAGUAUGAGAAAAGAGAAGGUUAGCAGGAGAAAGAGGGCUGAGAGUGAUAUGCAGGUGAGGAUGAUAUAGAGAAUAGUCAUUCUUCUUUGCAAGAUAAAGAGGCAAUGACAGUAGUAUAUAACUAUAUAUAUAGGAAAAAAUUGACAAGUCUGACUGUCUGAGGCAUUUACACAUUUUAUAACUAUAGUAGUUGAUCGAGUUCCAUCAACACUGAAUAUCAUGACUAUCAUGUUAAAAUAUUGAACUAAGCAUCGUUGAAAAAUAUAAUUGAUUCGUUGAAUAGCCUAUAGAGAGUACGUAAUCAACGUGAAAAUUUGAUUUCUUGCUAAUGAAGGUUUGUAAUCCUUUCGUGUCCUUACGAGCAUGUCAUUGAUUUCUUACUUAUUAAGGUUUGUAAUUCUCUAGUGCCCCUUCGAGCGUGUUAUGUUGUUAUUACUAUUUUUUUUUGCUUUAUAAAGGUUUCACGUCUAUUCUUGAAAAUAAAAAGUUUGUAAUUCACUUUUUCCUUGUUAAGGAUUGGACUUUUUUCUUCUUCUAAAGUAUACUCUACCUUAUCACUCUCCACUAUUUGUUUGUGUCAAAAUGAACUACGAACUCACUUUUCCAGAAUCUCACUUCAUGAAUUAAUGAAUCAAGGUUAAUUUCUAUAACAUGCGCAUAGACUUGAAGACUUCUGCCCGAGUAGGAAUAAAGAGCAAUUUCAUGUUCUUAUCAAUCUUAAUCAAUCGCUAGCGUCUAAUGGCCUCCACGACGUUGGUUUACAAGGUCACAUACGACUCACUGUACGUAACAUAUAUUUAUAUGUAAGAAGCUUCGCUUGUUACUACUUUAUAUGUCACGAUUUGCUAAUUCGUGGACCUUUUCUUGCAGUGAAUUAAGGGGCAAGAAAUUUAUAGUUGUGCCAUUGUAGACAGUCGCAAUGCAGAGAAGAAAUGUCACGAACUAGCACCGAUCGAGCACACAGACAGAGAUCAUCCACGCAUGGAUAUAUAGUUGUCCAAAUGAUCAUGAGGUUGUUCAACCUUAAUGCAUGAGCGUGCAUGUCAAACCUUCAUGCAUACAUGCUUAGACAUUUAAUUGUACUUGAACCUAAAAGAGAACUAUUUCUUAUUUUCGAUUCGUAACUAAUUCCUCGUGUUCAAUCUCGAUCUUGCCCACGAUUCAUUCAUGGCUCUUUUUUCAUGCAUACCAUAUGUGAUAAAAACUAGUUUUAAAGAUUUGUUGCCAUGUUAUUAAGUACUUAUUUCUUACUGUUAAUGAAAAAUAGGUUCUAUGUAAUGUUCGGCUGUUUUGUGGGAGAAUGCUAGUCAUUAUUCAUUAAGAUAUUGGAGAAUGCUAAGAAGUGAUAUUUGUAUGCAUAAUUGGCAUAUCCCAUAACUCUAUAUAUGUAGUAAAUGGAGUAAUAAUGAUAUAUAAGAGUUAAGUGUCUAUUUUCUAAAAUAUAUUAUCUUGCUGGGACAGAGGCAGAGGAGGGUUAGGAUGUGUUUGUAGCCUUUAGAUACUAGUCAGUAGUCAGUCGUUAGUUUGCUGCAGCUAUAAAAUCACUAAGGCCCGUUUGGUUGUGCGUUUUGAUGCUAAUUUUUGUUUUUUUUCACCGUUAUCACAUUUUUAUGUAUUUGGUAAAUUUUUAAUUCAGCGUUUUUUUGCUAAUUGCGUCCCGAAACCGUAAAAAUAGAAAACAGGUGCUGACAUGCUUUUUUUUAUCGGCGUGAUGAGGGAAGCUGAUCCUUUAAUGACUUUCUCAACAUCCCUAAAACACCCUCAUUGGAUUUCCUAAAUGACAAAAUGACACAUCAUGUUCCUUUCAUUUCAUCUAGAUAUAUCUUUCUUCUCCUGUGUUCUUCAUUCUGCAUGGACUUAAGGUGAUUGGGAUCUGCUGGGUAAUCCUGGGUAUCACAUAUUCAGAGUCACAUGGCUAAUCUAAUAUAUUAUAUAUGGUUAAUUGCCCACUCAAUUUUUUCUUUUUCGUUCUUCCCCUCACAGCCUCACUUUUCAAGUUCCAAACUUUUUAUAGUUUAAUUUUGGAGCUGUUUAUCUUUAGUUAAUAAAAUCUUUCUUCAAUCGUAUCACAACCAUCACCUAUUUGCUUAUGUAAUUUGAUUCAAUUUCUAUUUUGAUCUUUAGUUCUUUACUGAAUCUUGUAAUUUGUAUUUCUGUGAUUUGGUUUUUGUUCAGUAAUUUGUAUUUCUGUGAUUUGGUUCUUGUUUUCCUGUCGAAUUCAUAUCUCUACGUUCAUUCAUACCGAGUCUCGCAGACAAGGUGAUGGAUGGGUCUGGAAAUUUUUCUACAUCAAACGUAGUUGCAACUAAGUUCUAAUGUGUUUGAUGUUCAUAUUCAUUGUUGUGCUGAAGAAUUUGGGGUAAUUUGGUAUGAUUGUAUGAGUGUAGUAAUAAAGUCAUAAUAUUGCUCAUUUGACAUGAUAUCUAUCAUGCAUCAAGUUCUAAGUUCUGGGAAUAAAGCAGAGGUUUUAUGAGAAUGAUAGUAAAGGUUAAUGGGACUGGUGUCUAUACCGGUCAUUAUGCAAAAUUACCCUUGUUUUGCAAUGGGUUACCAAACAUCCCACUCUACGUUUUUCUAUCAAAAGAAGUUAGAAAAAGCUAAUUUACCAAACGCUUAAUGAAUUAAUUUAACCAUAGCUUAUUUUUACAACUGUGAUUUUUUUACAAUUGAUUGUUUAGACUUGAAUAUCAAAUUGAGCCCAAGUGUUUUGAUGAGGGUCAGAACACAUCCUAAAAAACAACAAUAGCAUGCAUGUGUUUGGCUAUGUAAAUCAAAUAUUUUGAGUAGCAUUACCGAUUCAAUUUCAGUUAUAGGUAGUGUGAUCACAAUUCUGUCGGAUUCACGAGUUGUAUUAAUUAGUGUAUUUUAGAUUGAAUAAUACCUGAGUUUUGUAGAGAUUCAUCAUUUUACUUCUUUAUAUCCAACAAUUUACUGAUUUACUUUGAGAAAUUGAAUCCAACAAUUUACGGAUUUACUUUGAGAAUAUGGCAUUCUAUAAUGUUGGCAACCUUGAGUCCUCUGUAGCCCAUCAUAUCUUUACUAUUAGAAAGCUAGGCGUGGCUUUGGUGUCUUUGGUGAGGCCUUUUUUUCAAUUGGCCAAAAAACCAAGGUAACAGAAAAUUCUCAAACAAUAAAAAUAAUAAUUACUAUGGGUUUAACCGUAAAACACCACUGAAAAAAAAAAAAGUAAUGUGGUAGUUUUAUCCCACUUUUUGGGGAGCAGUUAUCUACAAAAUGAUAGGAUUAACAGAUUCAUCCCACAUAAAAUGGAGCAGUUCAAGUACACUUUCUUCCAUUUUUUUAUCCCGUGCAGAUGCACGGGUAAGAGGUUAGUCGUAAAUAAAACCCCCUUUCGGUUAGAAUCGGAGAGUAGAAACACAUUUAAGGGGCUGCCGGUGGUAAUAUAUUGUUAGCGGUAAUUUUGUAAAAAACCCAACCCGAAAAACCAGUUACCAGGCCCAAAUCAGAACCCGAAGCCGAAGGUUGUAAAGUGUAAACCCUCCCACCUUGAGGAACACAGAGAGGUUUUAGGUCCAAAUUCGCCCACAUUAGUCUCGCGCCAUAGCAAAGAUGGGGAAGAAGAGCAAAGAUGGUGGCCAACCCAGAACCGAAACCGAGCACUGCACCUCCACCGUCUUCGUCUCCAAUUUGCCUUACUCUUUCACCAAUUCCCAGGUACCUCUCAUUUUCUUUUUUGUGUAAUUUGGCUGUGCUGGUAUGUUUAUGCAAACUACUGUUUGAUUGUGAACAUCAGCUGGAGGAGACCUUCAGUGAAGUGGGGCCCAUCAGGCGGUGCUUCAUGGUCAUGAAAAAGGGUGAGCUAAAACAAGGGAAUUUGCAUUUUCGAUUCUAGUACCAUCUCUCUCAAGUUCAGUUCAGAAUGUUUAUUAUGUUGGAUUGUUUACAGGGUCGACGGAGCACCGUGGUUUUGGCUUUGUUCAGUUGUAAGUUUAACUCCAUUACUAUUCCUGCAGUUGGUGACAUUCGUUUACAUAAUGACAUUUGGACUGUUUCAUGUUUGGACAUUCGUUUGUUUUAAUUUGUGUUCUGUGUUCUGUUUGAAGUGCUGUCACAGCAGAUGCUGAUCGCUCCAUUGAGCUGAAGAACAGUGCUUCUGUUGGGGGUCGAAAGAUUGCUGUAAAGCAUGCCAUGCAUCGUGCACCCUUUGAGCAACGAAGAUCAAAGAAAGAUCAAGGUUGGUAGUAGUAGUAGUACUCGUCUUAGUACGGAUCUAAGACACCCUUAUAAUUUCACUUCUUAUUAUGGGCAAUUGUGUUUUAUUUCAACUUAAAAACCAAGAGGGGAAGGAGAGGAGAAAGUGGAUAAAAACAGAAACAACCUUUUUAAGUAGUUUGGUCACUCUCAUGUUUAGCUUCUACGAUUAGACAUUGUGAGUCCAUAUAACUAACAUUAUACUCAACUUGGAAUGCUGGAAACUAAGUGCUACACGUAUUACUGAUGAUUAUGUAUUCUCCUCUUUUCUUUUACUUCAUACAUUUACCCUUUUUUUUUUUUUUUUUUUUUUUUUCCUAUAGACAAGUCAACAGAAUGAAGUUAUCAAACUGUCUGAUCUCAAUCACUGUCUCUCCCAUAAAUUUUUAUCUGAUGGUUUCAGGUCCUGAAUUGGAUGAAACUAUGAAUUCAAAAAGUGGCGAGGAUGGAGGCAAUUUCAAAGAGGAAAAGGGUGCUUCAAACUUGAAGACAAGAGAUGGUGAAUUUUAUUAUAUGAAUUUAUGUUAUUGUUUGUUUGUAGACAUUUUUUUCUUUAGUUGUUUUACUUUUCAUACUGUAUUCCACUAUCCUUUUUCUUAACUGGAAAAACAUCAAAGAUCAAAUGUUAAAGACUGGUCCUAAUAUUCUCAAUCACUUGCUGCAAUAUGUUUUCUUAUCUAACUACCUUUUCGUUAUAGAGGUCAAAUUGGAGAAGACCAUGAAGUCAAAGAAUGACAAGGAUGCUGGCAAUUUCAGAAAGGAAGAGGACGCUUCAAACUUGGAGGAAGGAGGUCACUAUUCUUAGUAUAUAAACUUGUUGUUCUGAUUUCAUACUCAUCAUACUUAACUAUUUGGAAUUUUCAUUUCUUUUUGAAUAAAAUGCAGAAAAACUUGUGAAAGCGAGAAAACCAGUAGCACCUGGUAAAGAUAUAGUGGCAAAAGUGGGAGGUUCUGAAAAGCAGAGGUAUGGAGUAUUCCCUUGCAUCUCAAGGACAUUAUAAUUUUCAUUCCCAAUUUAAUUAUAUUUAUUUGUCUUCCCCAAGUGAGUCAGGUGAUUCUGUCUCACUUAUCAGAGCCUUGUUGGUUCAUAUAGUCAUUAUUUUUGUGCAUUACAGCUUUCUCAGUAUACCAUGAAUUCUGUUCACGUUGUAGAAGUGUGUUUAUGGAUGGUAUUGAUAUCAAGUUAAAUUUAAAAUGGACGUAGGAACCUCGUGCUGAUAUAUUUUUGUCUGAUUUAUAAAAGUUUGAAAUUGUGCAACACAAUAAAUAGGCUUACUCAGCUCAAUUUAGGACCUGCUGCGUUCCUCUAUGUACUCCCGAGAUAGCAUGUGUGGCCACAGGGAAAUCUCGCAGCUUGUUGCCUUGCAAUAUUUCCCGUUUCAUUAGGGUUAUUUUGGUUAUCAGAUGCAGGAGAUAUUAUCUAGGACUCCUGUUUGAAAAUCAUUUGUCGUAUCUCAUGCAAAAAGAAAAAAAAGGAGAAAAAGUAGGAAAUUUAGGGUUAGAAGAAUGAUUAAUAUUGAUCUCCAUCUUUGAUUUAAUUUUGUCUAAGUUUGUAAGUCUUUGGUCAUAUGUAUAAAACAAUUCCAAAGAGUGAUUAUGAUUAAUUUGAGGCUUCUGAAUAUGAAUGAGACUCUUCUAAGUUUUAAGACUUUUCUGUUUUGACGUCUAGUAUUAUUAUCUAGUAUAGUUAGGUAGCUAUAAGUUUUAUUAAUUUCUUGUUCCAACUGACAUGUCAUUGGUAGGUUAUGGGGGAUGAUAAAGAAAAAUAAAAAUAAACGCUUAUGCUUUGAUAAAUUUCCUGUCAAGUGUGAAUUUUACUUUAUUAAGUUCGUUAUUCUCAGCAAAAUGUUUGGGCUCUCAUUUUGUUCUGAACAAUGAUUUUUGUCCCCUCUUAAUCGAUGUUUUAUUGUAACUUGAGAUCAUGCGACAAUCUAUCUUGUAUCCUUAUAUCUUCAGUUUCUUGUUGUUAUGAAGGGUUGCUAGAACCGUUAUAUUUAGUGGCCUUCUUAAUGCUGGUAUGGCAGAAGAAGUUCAUCGCCAAGCUAGGGAGGUUGGCGAUGUGUGUUCCAUAACUUAUCCCUUUCCCAAAGAAGAGGUUCAACAACAUGGUAUGGAUUUUCUCGCUCUAAGGAGGCGGCUUUUAAUUUUUGCCAAGUAAUGGGAGUGGUUUGUUUAAUAUAUUGAGUUGAAAAUGCGUUUGAAGUACCUAACACAGGAAUUUUAUACAAUUCUGGUGAUCAUUAAGAUAUUUUGUAUUCUUGACAAACAAAAUGACUAAAUCAAGAUAUUUGACUUCUUUGAUACAAUUGUUACGACCUCAGUGUUAUUAGAUAAGAAUCGAUACUAUUGCUUCUGUAGUCGUAAUUGGGUAACUGACUGCUUAGUGGAAUUUUCCAAUUAAAUGUUGCUAGACAGAUUUAUGAAUCAUUUUCUUCCCUUUUUUGAAGUAACUUUUAAAAAUACAUAUAAUUUGGGGUGUUGAGUUAACCAUAAUAUCUGGUGUCUUUUCAGGUCUUGUACAAGAUGGAUGCAAAAUGGAUGCCUCGGCUGUACUAUACACCAGUGUCAAAUCAGCUCAUGCUUCUGUUGCAAUGUUACACCAGAAGGAGAUAAAAGGAGGAAUUGUUUGGGCACGUCAGCUGGGUGGGGAGGUAAAUGAAAUGUCAAGUUGUCAACUGCUUCGACUACAUUUCUUUUUUGUGCAAAUACUAGUUUUCAUUUACUGCUUCAACCGCAUUUCUUUUGUACAAAUACUAGUAAUUCAAUUGUUUUUUCUUAAUGUGAAUUUUUGUCUUGGAAUUUGUUGUUACCGGAUUAAGUUUAUGCUAUUCUUCCCGUGCUGAUUUAUGAUAGAUGAUAGAAAGAUGAGGCAGUUUGAGUACUGAUCUUAAUCACAAUCACUUUCACUUUCACACUAUAUAUGACUGAUCUUUGGCAACCAAUUAAUAAACUAUAUUUACUUUUGUCUUUCCUCGUAAUAAUUAUUACUUUCUUUUGGUCUUUUUUUAUUUCUGUGUUAUUCUAGGAUGUGAUUUUGUCAUUACUUAUUAGGAAUGUUUUCAACCAAAUAAAGAAUUUUUUUUAGAAAUGCAGGAUAAAAGAAGGAGACCAGCCUUCAACAAUUCUGUUUUUCUGUGAUUAGUAACCGUGCCCGACUGGCGUGCACAUCUUAGAAGUAUCAUUUAUUCAUUUCAUAUUAUUGUGGGGCAGUGUUGUGUUCAUGAUAUGGUGGUGGUGGUUCAUUGUUAUUCAAUCUAUAAAGGGAAGUCUAACAGUUUGGUUGUGUCUUUGGGAAGGGUUCCAAGACUCGGAAGUGGAAGCUCAUUGUCAGAAAUCUUCCUUUCAAGGUCUUUUACUAAUUUUCUUUUAGUCAUAUGCAAUUUUCUUCGUGGUGAGGAGCGUUAUCUGAACUAGUUUGCCAACACAAAUGCAGGCAAAGGUCAGUGAUAUUAAAGAUAUGUUUUCAUCUGCGGGAUUUGUCUGGGAUGUUUAUAUACCACAGAAUUCUGAUACAGGGUAUUCUAUUAUCAUCCUGCAUUAUUUUCAUUCCUGUUGAAAUAUCACUUUCUGUUUCUCUUCAUUUAUUUUUUUACUGUUGGCAGGUUGUCUAAAGGUUUUGCAUUCGUCAAAUAUACACGCAAACAAGAUGCGGAAAAUGUACAUUCGUGAUCCAUGCUUAGUUCUAGUGUAGAGUUUGUGUACAUCGCCAUUGACUCUUUUUGUUCUCUUUUUGUUUUUAGGCAAUACAAAAGUUCAAUGGACAAAAACUUCUUAAAAGACCAAUAGCUGUUGACUGGGCUGUUCCAAAGCAGAUAUAUGGUAGUGGCAAUGACGCUCUUGCUUCAGAAGAUGGUAUUAUACUGUAACUCCAUUCUCAUCUAGCACACUUUUGGUAUUGAAGUCAUGUCUUUCUCGUAUUUGACAAAAAUAUAACCAAAAUAUGGAGAUAUCUUGAUUUGUUGGCCCAAUCUGAAAAAAAUGCAAGGAAAAAGAAAAAUCUGGCGAUAUGGAGAAGGAGGUGGAAAUUGAAGAUCUAUAAUUAAUAUCUUACUUUGUCUUUCUCUUUUUUAGUUCUUCUAAAUUCUGAAUAUCUGGUAGAGAUUUUUUGCUUCUGAUGUUGAAGAAAGAGGGACUUGGGGAAUGCCAAGUCUGAUUUAAGAAAGUGCUGGCUGUCACUAGGUUUUCUUUUUCAUGAAAUAAAGGCAUAGGCUUUGACUAUUUAGGGGCAUGCCUAGUCUGAUUCGUGAAGAUUUUCUUUUUCGUUAAAGAAAAACCAUAUACAGUGUCUAUUUAGACUAUGGGUUCAGUUGAUACUCCCCCCUUUUGGUUUUCCUUGUUGGUUUCUAGUUAUCUCUAGUUAUCAAUAAUUUUAGUUUUGAAUCUAAAUAUAGAUGGAGUUGUUCCACCUUUUGUACCCCAAGAUGGAACAUGUAUAGAAAAAUCUUCCUCUAAAUGUAUCUACUGAAAUUUUCUUGGUAUCAACAUAUGUGUUAUCGAUUUGACCGCUGAUAUAUUUGUCACUGCUGGUAUUUUGAACAUUUGUUAUGGUUUAUGACUAGUAAGACGUUUUAUUUGUCUUGAGCAAUUUAAUGAUAUAAUAAUUAGAAGUGUCUCUAUGUGCAAAGCAAAGUGACAUGCAAUGAAAACACUGGUUUUACAGGAGAAAAGGGUGGGAGAGAUGGGGGAAAUGAUAGCAGCAGCGAUGAUUUCGAGGGUGAUGCUGGAGAUACAUAUGAAAUGCCCCAGCACCUUGAUAGGAUUGGUGCUGCUCCAGAUGACUCCAAUACAGCAGAGAUGAAAGACAUCCCUACUGAAAUUGAUUUUGAGGAGGAAGCAGAUAUAUCAAGAAAAGUUCUAAAAAACUUGACCACUUCCUCUUGUACUGUAACUACUGAUGAUAUGGGUGUUGAUAAUUCUGCAUUUCCCAAAGGGAACAAGGAGCCAACUAUUGAUUUUGAGGAGGAAGCAGACAUUGCUAGAAAAGUUCUAAAAAGGUUUACCAUGGCUUCUGGUACAGUAACUGCUGUUGAUGAUUCAUUGCCGAAAAGUAAAAAGGAGCCAACUAUUGAAGAAUCUGUUAAUGAGCCUAGUAAAGUAGCUUCUGAGACUGUGCCUAAUAACUUAUCUUCUGAAAGUGCCAGUGCAUCAGAUGCUGCUAAACCACAAACAGAAGAAGAAGAUGAUUUGCAUAGAACAAUUUUCAUCAGCAACCUUCCUUUUGAGAUCACUAAUGAAGAAGUCAAACAAAGGUUUUCUGCUUUUGGGCAAGUGCAAUCUUUUGUCCCAGUUCUUCAUCCACUUACCAAGUACGUUUUAUACCUCAUUGAUCUAAUUCCUACCAUUCUCUAUUAUACUGGAAACUUCACAUGAGAUGUGAUGUGGCAGGCGACCAAAAGGAACGGGCUUUCUCAAGUUUAAGACAAUAGAUGCAGUGACCUCUGCGGUUUCAGCUGGUAGUGCUGCAUCUGGCUUGGGAAUUUUUCUCAAGGGUAGACAACUGACAGUCUUCCAGGCUUUGGAUAGAAAAUCGGCUCAUGAGAAGGAAGAAAAUAUGGCCAAAAAGGAGGACAUAGACCACCGCAAUCUCUAUUUGGCAAAGGUUUUUACUUCUAGAAGCACCUUCCUUUUCUUCUUGCUUUAUCUAUUUUAUUGUUUUCUGUGUCCCGUGGUAACUGUAAUGUAUUGUCCUGAAUGGUUGGAAUAAUCUCUCCUUCAAAUCAUAACAGGAAGGUCUUAUUCUUGUGGGAACUCCAGCUGCAGAAGGGGUUUCAGCUACUGAUAUGUCAAAACGCCAAAUGUAAGAUUUGUUGUUUUUUUAUUUCUUUCUUAUAAUCCCGUAGAUGCUGAUUACUUAUAGUCUGGCAAUUAAUGUUGCAAUUGGUUUUUACCAGUCUUCUUUGCACAAAAAUUCAAAAUCAGUUUUCAUGUGAUUAAGUGAUUAGCAGUUCUAUUUUAACUAUAUUUGCAGGAAAAAAAAAACCUAUGCCUUUAUUUUCUGUUCAUAAUUCUUUACUUUUAACUGUAUUUUCUUAUAAGUUUCAAGCUUAAUUUAAAUCUAUUUAGAAAUAUUCUGUCAAAAAGAAAAAUACCUUAAUUAACAUUUUGACAAUCUUGCUUUGUAGUUUUUAACAGGUUAUGAGCAAAUUGAAUAGUGCUCCCUCGGCAUUAAGAUGCUGAUUGCUAUUCAUAGUUUCAUAUUCCUAUUUAUUGAUUUCUGAAACCAUGCAGGUUGGAGAGGAGCAAGGCCAUGAAGCUUAAAUCUCCAAACUUUCAUGUUUCGAAGACGAGAUUAGUUAUGUACAAUUUGCCAAAGUCCAUGACUGAAAAACAGCUUAAAAAACUUUGUAUUGAUGCUGUUACCUCACGAGCUAAGCUACAAAAACCUGUGAUUCGACAGGUUAGAUUGUACUUGCAUUUUUAUUUUUUUNNNNNNNNNNNNNNNNNNNNUGUACUUACAUAAGUUACAUUUGUCUCUUAUGAGUGAUGGUGGUCCUUUUGUUUUAUGAAGUUUUCCCUUGUUUUGUCCAAAAAAUAAAUAUGAAAUUUUUCAUUGCAUAUGAUGUUGUGCAUGUAGAUAAAGUGCUUGAAGGAUGUGAAAAAGGGAAAGAUUGUCACAAAGAACCAUUCUCGCGGUGUUGCUUUCAUUGAGUUUACAGAGCAUCAGCAUGCCCUUGUGGCUUUGAGAGUUCUUAACAACAAUCCUGGUAAAGUUUAGAUUGUCAACCUCAUUGACCAUUUAAUCUUGUUGGAUUUUCUUUCUUUUCUUUGAAUCUGUUGACGUAUGAUCUUAUAUAUCGUGAUACUAUUUGCAGAAACUUUUGGCUCAGAACACCGGCCAAUAGUGGAGUUUGCACUUGAUAAUGUUCAGAAAUUGAGAGCACGUCAGGUUUCACAACAAACUCAGCAGCAUGCCGCUAAUGGUAAUCAGAAAGAGGUGCGCCAAUUUGAUCCCUUGAAUAGAGCAGAUGCCAAUCCUAGCAAGAAGUUUGAAAAACGGAGAGACAAAGGCGAGAAACGAAAACUGGACGAGGUAGUACCAAAUAAAGAGGGUGAAGUCGAAAAUAGGACAAGUGAUGUAGCUGCCACUGAAGGGAAGAGAUUUCCCAAGAGGCAGAAGAAUGGUUCAGAUAAAAAAGCAGAAAAUAUUUUAUCAAAAGAAGUACUGCGAAGCUCAUCGGGAGGCUCAAAACGUAAAAGCCAUAAUCAAGAUGGCAAGAAGGCUGGUGGUGGAAGAUCAUUUGAAAAUGAAGUCAAGGCAGCUGAUACGACCACAUCAGUAUCAUCAAGAAAGACAAGUGUGGAACCUCAGAAGAGGAAGUUGCGGGAGCAAAGUUACAUGGAGGGAGGAGAGAACAUGAUGAGAAGAAGGCCAAAGAAUAAAGACCCGAUAGGGCGGGAUGUUACAGAUAAACUUGACAUGCUGAUCGAAAAAUAUAGAUCCACAUUCACACAUCAAAAUUCCUUCCAAAAAGGUGGCGGAAGGCAAGAUUCAAUUAGAAAAUGGAUUGAUUAAUUACAAGUUGAUUUUGUAAAAUUCCAUGAUGAAUGUGUUAACAGAUGAGUGGAAAGCUGUUGGCUUGAAUACGCAGUUGCUGUAAAUUUUGUGUUCGUUAAAUUUUGACAAUAUUGAUUGAGGUGUAAUUUCAACUAUCUUCGUUCUUUUUGUAAACAUUUUCUUACUGAUCUUAGGGACUGUUUGUGAUUGCUUUAUUCUAAAAAAGAAUUGUUUUUUUUUUUUAUCAAAAAAGUUUAGAUUUUAAUCAUUUUAUUGUGUUUGGUAAAUCAAAGAUUUUUUUUUUCUUUUUAAAAAAUAAUAUAUCUAGCAAACACGAAACUGUAACUAACACAGAACUAGUCCUGUCAUGAUUUGCUAACUUGUGGACCUUUUCUUGUAGUGAAAGGAGCUAGAAAUUUUUACUUGAGCCAAUGUAGACAGUCGCAACGAAGAGCAGAAAUGUCAUGAACUAGCAUCGAGCGCAGAGAUCCUGGAUAUAUAUUUCUAUCUAAAUGAUCAUGAGGCUAGGUUCAACCUCAAUGCAUAUAUGUUUAGACCAAUGAUUGUACUUGCAUCUAAAAGAGAAGCAGUUUCUUAUUUUCGUAACUAUGCCUCGUGUACGUUCAAUCUCUUGCUCACGAUUCAUUCAUGGCUCGUUUUUAACGCAUAACCAUAUGUGACAAAACUAGUUUUAAGGACAUGUUGCCACACAUAAAAUAAAAACAAGCUUAUGUGUAGUUGUUACUCGUUUCUUCCGGUCAAGGAAAUUAGGUUUCUAUGUAAUGUUCUGUUUAAUUUGCUGAGGAAUGCUAGUUAUUAUUCAUUUAGAUAUUGGAGAAUGCUAAAAAGUAAUAUUUAUAUGCAUAAAUGGCAUACAAAACUCUACAUAGAUUUAGGGCCCUAGAUUUAGUAAAAGGAGUUUGUAAUUGAUAUACAAGAGUUAGAGUGUGGAUUCCUAACAUAUAUUGUACAUGACGGAACCUGGUGUCGGCUUUGGUUUUGGAUAUUGAUCACUUGUUUAGAGCUAUAAGAUCACAGACCACUCUGAAAUACCAAAACUAAAGAUGGAAUGGAAAAUAAGCUACAAAUUUAAGAGAACAUGUAGACUGGCGUAGAAGAGAAAUCCCGACCAAGAACUAUGGUACAGAGGUUCAUACAAUAGAACCUUCAUGUGACACGUCAUAGUUAGCUAAAACAUCCAUGAGGCAUUUUCCUCCCUAAAGAUAUGAGAAACACGUAGUUGUAUGUAUUCCCCUUUCAAGAUCCUAAAUUGUUUCUAGGAAUAAUUUUCAUCGGCACAGAUAUGAGAAACACGUAAUUGCAUGUAUUCCCCUUACAAGAUCCUAAAUUGUUUCUAGGAAUAAUUUUCAUCGGCACAUAAGAUAAAUGCAUGCCACCCAAUUUCUAGCUAAUUCAUGGUUCCGUCCAGGAAUUAUUAAGUUUGUGGAGUGGAAGUAUUAAGUUUCUGAUGGUACUACAACAAAAACAAUUCAACAAAAACCCUAUCAUGCUCUCGUUCCUCUCGUCCCUCUCAACAAAUAAACUACUCUGAAUUAAGGUUAAUUUCUAUAACAUGUGCAGGACUUCUGCCCGAGUAAGCUAUGUUUUUUGCUUGUUCAACAGAAAACUAAGAACAAAUUAGUAAGUUUUCAGUUGGCUAGCUAGCUCGAAGGACUAGGUGCUCUAUUAGUAUGUUUCCAAUUGCAGGUCUCAUUUCCAUGUUCUUAUCAAUCUCUAUCAAUCGCUGGUGUCUAAAUGACCUCUACGACGUUUGUUUCCAAAUAAACAACGUGAACUCACUAUAACAUACAUGAGUCCAGUUCAAGAGACACUUUAUUUAACAUAUAUUUCUACAUCGUUUUUUAGCAGUUAGAUUUAAUUGCUUUCAAUGGCCUGAAUUUAUUAUAAGCAUGAUGUGGCAGAUAAUGUGAAAACAAUUUAUUUUUUUUCUAAGAAGAAAAAUUAAAAAACUCAAAUCAAAAUUAGAAGAUGAACGUCUUCUUCUUUACUCACUCUAACAUAUAUUUAUAUGUAAGAAGCUUCGCUUAAUUACGUUACCACUUUAUAUGUCACGAUUUGCUAAUUCACGGACCUUUCCUUGUACUGAAGAGUGCGAGAAAUUUCCACCUGUGCCAAUGUAGACAGUAGCAAUGCAAAGCAGAAAUGUCAUGAAGUAGCAUCGACGUACUCAUCGAGCACACAGAGAUCAUGGUAAUAUGGUAUUUGCAUCCAAAUAAAUGAUCAUGAGGUUCAACCUUAAUGCAUGCCUGCAUGUCGAUCAAACCCUCAUGCACCUAAAACAGAACUAUUUCUUAUUUUUCGUAACUAAUGAAUGCCUCGUGUUCAAUCUCGAUCUUGGUCACGAUUCAUUCAUGGCUCGUUUUUCAUGCAUACCAAAUGUGAUAAAACUAGUUUUAAAGACUUGUUGCCACACAUAAUCAAAACAAUAAGCGUAUAUGUAGUUGUUAUUAAGUUCUUAUUUCUUCCAGUUAAGUUCUUAUUUCUUCCAGUUAUUGAAAAUAAGUUCUGUGUAAUGUGCGGCUGCUUAAUUUGUUGGAGAUUGCUAGUCAUUAUUAUUUAUUAAGAUAUGGAAAAAACUUGGGUGACAAGGUUUUGUCACUAACAGGUGACCAACACCAAUGAAGAAGUGACACGUGGCCAGAAAAACAAUUAAAUAUAAAUAAUCAAUUACCAAUAACCCCAUGUAGUGUCCUCAAAGUCGAACUUAAACUGUUUAACAGGACACGUGUCUCUUUCCCAUUGGUGUUGGUCACUUGCAAGUGACCAUACAUGGUCAUUGAAGUCGAGUCCUUAAGAUAUUGGAGAAUGCUACAUAAGUAGUAUUUAUAUGCAUAAAUCGCAUACAAACCUUUAUGAAUUUUUUGUAAGGGGAGGAAUCAUAAAAUACAUCUUAGAAACACUCUAACUCUUACUUAUCACAACCAAGUUUUAGAGUUCUGGUGUCUACCCGGGGGGUGAGUCUACCCGGGGUGUUUUAUACGUUUUGGAUACGGUUCUGUUGUGUAUCUGUCAGUGGGGUGUUAAGUAUGGAUACGUUUGAGAUAUUGUUACCGCAGCACGCGUGUUGCACGACGGCUUCCACUAUAUUGCGAUUCCUCUUCUGAAUUGAAAUCUAGGGUUUGCCUGCGUCCAACAAAGUUUGUAGUUUGAGCCGUCCGUCCAAGCGACAGAAAGGAAAUUGGGUUAUCCUUGCCCAGCAGCCCUCGGUUUGGGAUCUAGAACCCAUCGGUUUUGUCAUGUUCUUGAGGGUGGAUGUUGAAACCGGGAGGAAGCGCGGCCACGAUCACGAUUCGCGGUUCCGAAGCCAAAACAGUCGAGGGGCUUUCGGAUCUACAACCCCUAAUUCAGAGCCGUUGUGUCGAAGAGCUUAUCAUCCAUGCAAGUAGAUAAGCCACAGAACUUGGGUGGGAAUCGCGAGGAUUUCGACUCAUCUAUUCUCUCCUAUUAUUUGGGUUUUGGAAGGCAAUCGGUGAUUCUGAAUAUCGGUUAUGCGGAUAUGAGGCAUGGAAGCCUGCGAUUCCAAUUCAGAUUUGCCUUUUUUGAAAUCCUUAAUCACAACCUCAGCUCAUUAUUCCCCACACAGCCACCGACUCCUCACUUGAUUCGGGUAAGUACCAAAUUCCAUAUCCUUCUCUUCUAUUUGAUUCGGUUUAUGUUAUUGUUAUUUAAUUUGCGAGCGUUGUAUGAGCAGUAGGAAAUACUUGGAGAAUUUAAUCAAUGGGUCUGAUAUUGUUCAGAGUCUAAGGAGGAUAGUAUGAUACUCAGCACAUUUGAUUAGCAGUUUCAAAACUGGGUUCAUGCCUUUCGUGGCCAACUUAAAUUACUAUUAGUUUACUGGAUGGGUUCCAAAGUUGGUACGUUGUUGUUGUUGCUGUUGUGAAGAAUCAGAAAUCACUAUUAGUUUGUUAAAGGAAUAAAUGGCAACUGAGAAAUAGAAGCUUUGCAUGCACUUGCAGAAUAUAUUGUAUUUGCUGCAUAAUUGCAAGUUUUGAUGCUUUUGUUUAAAUGCAAGCAUAGCUUUUCUCUGAUAUAUAUGGCCCCACUUAUGUGACUGUUCACUCUUCUCAUGACUCACAUUGGAACAUUAGGCCAAAAUGAAAUACAAAUUGAUUGAUUUCAGUCCAAAAGGAAAGAAAAAAGAAAGAACUUAUUAGGUAGCUAGUUACAUGUAUGUUAAAUUUUACACCUGUAGGCUGAAUAUGUUUGAAUUGGCAUUAGAGUUGGGGAAGAAGCUAUGGAUGCUCGAGUGUCCUGGAAUUUUGAUUCCCAAUCCUCACUGCACCGAGGUUGUCCUGUUGAAAAGCUAAAACUGGCAAAUAUUAGAGGUCUAGCAGUGCAUGUCAUGUCUAUGAGUUACGAGCUUGCAUAGUUGCAGAAUAUGAUGGUUGCCAUGGAUGGAAGUCCCAAUUUGGAGGAUCAUACACCUCUCUCUUUAUGCCCAAGAGAAUGCCUGUAGUAUGCCAAUUGUCUCUUGUUCACUAAUUCACUAUGGCUGUAAGUUAUUGUGCCUUCAAAUCUCUUAAUGUCUUUUGGCCUGAAAAUAUCCGGCCACUUGUUCUCUAGGGACAGAUUUGAAUUGACAUUCAACAAUAUAUGGAUUAAUGAUGUCUGCUAGUCAGCCGUAAACUUCAUUGAGACUAUUGUGUUGGUUCGUUGCUUCAUAACUAUUUUGGUAACAAACGGGUCUGAUAUGGUUAUCCUUCAUGAAACAUUUGGAAUCUUAGGAUGUUUCCAAUUGAAAGUAUUAGUUUUUUUUUUUNNNNNNNNNNNNNNNNNNNNCAUAUGAAGUUCCGUACUUGCAGGAAUUCUAAUCUGUAAUUAAGUAUAAAACUAUGAAUAAACCAUCUGGCUGGGCACCAAACCAAAUUCUUUGUAACUAGUUAAUCAAAGAGAGUUGUGGCAAUUUAAGCAAAAGAAUUAGUCAUUUGGUGUAUAUAAAUUUGAUGUAUGAAGAUCUACACAUGUAUGUAUGUAAGCUAGUAUCUAGUUUUUCAUGAGGAGAAUAUAUAUGGAUGGCUAGUUUCCUAUAAGUAUCUGGUCUUCCUAAAAGUAGUAGCUUAUGUCCUAAAUUUAUAUUGUCGAUUUCUCAUAUGAUCAAAAUACAUUGAGAGAAAUCAUUGAAGAUUUCCUUUGAAAUUGACGGCUUGCCACACUAAAUUUUCCUUCACAUUUGAGAUAUAUGGCUGAUUUCAUUGCAGUUGGUUGCUCCAUUGCAGUAAAUUCAUCUUCCAAAUGGUAACAAAUGGUAUGUCUUUCUAAUUCCUUUCAGUAACGUAAAUACUAUGUUCUUCCAGUAAAAUGACAGAUAUGAUGUGCCUGAGUGUAUGUUAUUAUAUUUAUGAUUACAAGCCAACUCGCGCUUCUCUAAGCUAGUCCCUCAUCUGGGUAUUUGCCAAAUGAACAUGCUUAUGGUUUGUGAGGCUGAGCAAGCUCUGUUGAUUAGCCUUGAACUGAGUAGACAUGGAACAGGAUGGGGAAGUGAUUUGAUUGAAUCAUUUCAUUGCAUGUCUUCUCGUUUUCUUUUUCUGUCUACAGUUAUGAUAUCUGUCUUAAUGAUGCUUCACCUCUGAAACUUGAAAAAAAAAAAUAGCAGGGAAUCCUUGUUUUUGCUUCUGCAUGGCAACUCUGGGACUGCAGGUCAUCUUAGAAUCUAUGCACACCCUAUUUUUUUUAUGCAAGUGACUAUGACCUGAUAUUUGGAGCAUCUAAAUAUUUGGCCCUUUAUUACAAUAUACAGCUUUUUUUUGCUUUUUUCUAAAGUAAAACACUGGCAUCAUGUUGCUUUUCAAUUUGUAUCUCUUACCAGGAAGAUGAGUUCAACUUAACCAAGGAUCAAGAGCGAUGGAUUGUGGGUAGGAUGCUCGGUGUCACUGGUCAAAUUGCUUAUGAUGCUUUACUGCCGCACUUUCUCCAAUAAAAUAGUCAAAGCCUAUUCCUAGGAUAAUUUCUUUGAUGUUGUCAUCAACAUCAUUGGUCUGGUUGCUGUGCUCCUUGCUAAUUUCUUUGAUGAAUGGAUGGACCCUGUUGGAGCUAUUAUUGUAAGUGGCUCAAUCCUAGGUCUCACUCUUUGUUCACCCAAAUUAAAUUGUUUUACAUACUGAGAACUCAUAUGUGUAGUAAAGUGGUUAUCCUCUCAAUCCUAUGGUCGUACAGUCUUGCAUCUUAAUACGGGAUGGUAUCAGAGACUACUAUUAGUUGUUAGUCUGUACCUGGUAGUGCAUCUUAUGCUCUGCAUAUAAAUUGAGUGAUAGGACAUCAGAUAUUAUAUAACAGGUUGCUAUACAUUUUAUCAACUUAGGUCAACUGUUCCUAUGUCAUACUCCUUGCAGAUCUUGAGUUCCUUCUAUGGGGUUUCAUGAUCCUGAUCAUGGUUAUGUGAAUAUGACAAUCACUAUUCAUAUCUGACUAUUAACCUAGCCUUUCGUGAUUACAUCAUCCAUAGUUUGGACUCGUUGUCCUUGGUGGUUUUGGUACUAAUACUUGCAUGUAACUCUUGGAUUUUCAGCUGACCUUGUAAACUAUUUGCACCUGGUCAUUGAUUGUCUUGGAAAAUGUGAACUCCCUAGUUGGAAAAUUUGCUGCCCAGAAUACCUAAAAAACUGACAUACCUGUGCUGGAACCAUCAGAAGGCGAUAUGCCAUAUUGACACACUCCGUGCUUGUCGAGGUAGACAUUGUCCUGCCAUCAACAAGGCCUUAAAAGAGGCUCAUGACAUAGGGGAAGCGUUGCUGGAGAAUGCUUGUCCAUCAAGACUACGAGUUCAGUCACAAGCCCGAGCUUGCACAGACACACUUAGAAAGAGAGCAUCGAUCUUAUAUACUAUGACAGAGCAAGAUCCUUCUGUGCAUCAAACUCAAAUGCUAGAGUUGCUUCCAGAAUGGAGGAAUUAUCAAUCCAGGAAAUGUGUACAAAUUUGUUGUCAAGGACAAGACACUAUUAUUCUAGUGAAACUGGGUAUGAAUGCUGGCCCUUAUAAGAUUAACUAAACUGACUUGGGGGAAAAAAUAAAGUAAAAUUUAUUUACUUUAAGACAUCGGACCUAUUUAAUUACCGGAACUACAUCGGACCUAUUUAAUUACCGGAACUACAUCGGACGGUGGAAUUUUUAUUUCACAUUUUUAAGACAUCAGAUCGGCACGUGGCUACUAAAGGGGUGUAUCUUGUUUAUUAGGUUAUAUGUGUUUGUGUGUCUUUAUGAACCAACUACGGGAUAAAAGUAAACUGACACGACCUGCCUCAAAUUUCACCCUGAAACCCGGAGUAAGUCGUGCGGGGACCACCUCCAAGGAAAAUUUUACCGAAAAGAUUGGUAAAACCACCCUUGAAAAUGGACAACCCUAACUCAAAAAUUUCAAAUUUACACUCUUACUACAACACGUCCAAACUUCACAUAAAUAUCCAGCUAAUAAAAGCAAACAUUAUCCUUCAGAGAUUCUAAACAUCAAAUCAACAGGCCGAACACACCACCGAAAUAAUAUACAACAAUCCCAAAGUAUCCAGAGCUACUAGACUCUAGCGGAAGUAAGAAAACACGAGUAGGUUGAACAGGUAAUCUACUGAGGAAAACUGGCGGAAAAACGGGUGACUAUGCCUUGUCUCCUACUAGAUCCAACCCGAACUCUGCAGACUGGGCAUUUUAAAACAAAGGGCCCAGAGGAAAAACAUUUAAUAACGUUAGAGUGAGUGGACAAAAAUAAAUUAAUAAGAAAAAUAUUUAUGUUUCCCCAAAUCCAUUUCUAAGGAAAAAAUCGAAUGCAUGCCGCAAGCGAUAAAACUUUUAUCUCAUAAAAUAUCGAGCAUCUCAGACUCUAUAAUAUAUGUAUGUAUUUACACACGUUCAUAUUCCCUAUAUAAAUUCAUGGGUCUAUAUAGGGCUACUACGCUCGCGUCCAACGCUCACGUCACGCCUUAAUGCGGUGCUACAUUACCCUAUUAAGGUGGACAGACGGGUGUAUAAAUGUGUCCAUACCCCCUAUGUGAAUUAAACACUCAUAUAGGGCUACUAAGCUCACGUCCAACGCUCACGUCACACCAUAAUGCGGCUAUAUGCUACGCCAUUAAGGUGGACAGACACAUAUGGCUAGCUAGCAUUUAUAUACAUACUCUCCUCAUAAAUACAUAUUUAUAUCCACCGAAAAUCCCAUUUUCGGUAACUCUCCAAGAGAAAUAAAAAUCGUCAAAUUAAAAUAACGUUAAAAUAUUCCGCAACAUUUAUUGUUCAACCAUGAACUAUAGCAUGCAUUUAUUUAAAAUAAACGUCCACUCACAAAUUUGGCCUAAGCCUGAUGUCGAUCUGGGGCCUCGUCUGCUCGAGCCUCCUCACGUCAUGUUCUAAAUAUAAUAAUAAUUUCCCACUAAAAAUCCAAUAAUUAAACAAAAUGGGCAAAAUUAAACGUGAGCCUCCCACACACCUAUCAUUGCCCAUCUACGCCAUUCUUAACUCAAAAUGGCUCAACCUUCACCGAACAUACCGCAGCCGUAAAUACAACCUCCCCCAAAAUACGACUUAAAUCCUACGGCCGGAUUCUAUAUUAUUUAACCGUCAAAAAUACCACACUUCGGAAAUUCAUAAACCUAUCCAAAACUCAUCCAAAAAUUUCAUAACUCACUUCAAUAAACUCCCCUUAAUAUUCCAAAUUUAACAACAUUAAAAAUCUCCCAAACAGCUCCGGCGCCGGCGCCGGCUCCGCCGGUAGCGGCGGCCGGAGGCCGAUUCCGGCGACCUCCAAAUUCUAUGAAAAUUUGACAACAUAAUCCUCUUAUCAUGCUCUACAACUUCCCUAACUAGCACAAACCCAAAAUCCAAGCCUAGCUAGGGUAAUCGACUAAAAACAUCCUAAAAGCCCUAGAAAUUUCAACUCCACAUUUCUCCUUACCUAGCUCAAGAGAGAGUGAGCUCUUUGGAGGGGUUGCUGCACGGGAGGAGGGCUACAAAACGAGCCAAGGAUCGUCGGCUAUAGUGGCCGGAGGAGGGAGUUCCGGCGACGUGAAGCUUUGGACAGUCGAACCUUUCGGGGGAGAGCGCUCCUUCACGGCGGAGCUAGGGCGGCUAUCAUCGGUCCAGGGAGGUAGCUGGGUCGGAGGCCGUCAGUUUGGGACCGGAGCGGCGGCAGAUGGUGGCCGGACGGCGGCAGGAGGACUGCCGGAAAACCGGGCAGCGGGAGGAAGAAUUCGGGGGUUAGAAAAUCGGGAGAAGAGAGAGAAGUGAGUGUGUGGGUGUUGGGCCUCUCCCACACCCGGUCCAAACCCAUAUAAAUCAACCCACUCUAAAAUAAAACACCCCGAAAAAAUAAUAUCCUAAUAAAAAUUACCUUUUACUAGCUAAAAUUUACCAUUUUUACAGUCGUCAUAUUUUCCUCAUACGAAUAAUCCUCCGCACAUAAUCGUCCCCGAAACCCCUCUAGGGACCAAUUAAACUAUUAACUCAAUGACGAAGACGGUAAAAUUCUUAUUAUAAUCAAGCUAGUAAAUAAGGUAAAAAUUUAAGGGUCGGGAUGUAACAAAAACUUUGAGAAAAAGAACCGUACGAUGGGAGAAAUAGUAUGAAAUAUGAACAUGGUAGAAAUUUCAAGUCUUUUCGUUAAAGAUACGGACUCCAUCAUAAUGGUAAACCUUAAUUACGCUAAGGUGCUUCUAAGAGGAGCCUAACUACCGGAUGGUCAAUUUAACAAAAAAAAUUUCAUGGGUUCAUAAUUCACAUAUAUACGAGUUUGAGGUGCGAAAUCGGGAAAAAAUAAGGUUUCGCAUGUUGGCGGUCAACUGCGUUUCGUGUAAAAAAUGAAGGUGAAUUAAGGUUGAGCAGUUCGAUGAGUGGCGUAACGAAUCCGAAACUGGGUGAAUUUUUUUUAGUAGACCUAUUUAAUUACCGGGACCACAUCGGACGAUGGAAUUUUUAUUCUCACAUUUUUAAGACAUCAGAUCGGCACGUGGCUACUAAAGGGGUGUAUCUUGUUUAUUAGGUUAUAUGUGUUUGUGUGUCUUUGUGAACCAACUAAGGGAUAGAAGUAAACUUUGAGAAAAUGAACCGUACGAUGGGAGCAAUAGUAUGAAAUAUGAACAUGGUAGAAAUUUCAAGUCUUUUCAUUAAAGAUACGGACUCCAUCAUAAUGGUAAACCUUAAUUACGCUAAGGCGCUUCUAAGAGGAGCCUAACAACCGGAUAGUCAAUUUAACAAAAAAAUUUCAUGGAUUCAUAAUUCACAUAUAUACGAGUUUGAGGUGCGAAAUCGGGAAAAAAUAGGGUUUCCCAUGUUGGCGGUCAACCGCGUUUCGUGUAAAAAAUGAAGGUGAAUUAAGGUUGACCGGUUCGAUGAGGCGCGUAACGAAUCCGAAACUGGGUGAAUUUUUUUCAGUAGACCUAUUUAAUUACCGUGACUACAUCGGACGGUGGAAAUUUUAUUCUCACAUAAUUAUGACCUCUGACUGGCACCUGGCUACUAAAGAGGUGUAACUUAUUAGGGUUUACCCUUGUGAUGAAUGCCGCAUCUUUAACGAAAAGACUUGAAAUUUCUACCAUAUUCUUAUUUUGUACUAUUGCUCCUAUCGUACGGUGGGUUUUCUCAAAUUUUACUUCCUUCUCGUAGUUGGUUCACAAAUAUGUAUAUUUGUAUAUAACCUCAUAAACAAGUUAUACCACAUUAGUAGGCACAUUGUGAUUCCAAUGGCUAAAUUUCAUAAAAUGAAAUUUCGACCGUCUGAUAUGAACGAUAUAGUGAAAUACGGCUAUGAUAGAAAAUUCAUAUGUAUUCGGCAACAUUCGGGACUCCAUUAAAGCAGUCAACCCUAAUUCAAUGUCACUUACCACACGAAAACGCUCUUACCUACCCCUAUAUGACCUGGUCUAGUUGAUUCUUCCACACAUAAAACUCUCACAUAGAUAAGAUGUAACCAGCCAUUUCAAAAUUUAUGAACGUUCACCUCCCGAUGAUAGGGCUUCCCAUAAGAAAGAAUAAGCGUAAAUAAAGUUGACCGCUUGUAUCAAGGAUCUAACGUUACCGGAAUUAUGUGAUUUUUCAAUCAUAUCCGUAUUUCACCAUAACAAUCAUAUCCUAUUUCACAAGAUUUUUCAAAUUUUUGCUUCCUCUGUAUAGUUGGUUCACAAAGAUUUAUACUUACAUAAAACCCACUAAACAAGUUAUACUAUAUUAGUAGGCAAGUCAAUGGUUAAAUUUAAAAAAAUGAAAUUUUGACCGUCUAAUGUGAACGGUAUAGUAAAAUAUGACUAGGAUAGAAAAUUCAAAUGUAUUCGGCAACGUUCGGGGCUCCAUUUAAGCGGUCAACCCUAAUUCAUCGUCACUUAUCACACAGAAACGUUCUUAAUUACCCCUCCACAACCUAAUUUGGUCGAUCCUUCCACACAUUAAACUUUCACAUAGAUAAGACGUAACCACCCAUGUAAAAAUUAGGAGAUGUUUACCUUCCGAUGAUAGGGCACCCCAUAGGGGACAUUUAGGGUAAUUAAGGUUGACCGCUUUGAUCGGGGCUUUAACUUUGCCGAAUUAAAGUGAUUUUUCUACCAUAGCCGUAUUUCACUAUUCUUAUCACAUCUUAUUUUACGAGAUUUAUGAAAAUUUUGCUUCAUGUGUGUAGUUGGUUUACAAAGUUGUACAUUUGCAUAUUACCAAUUAUACAAGUUAUACCGUAUUAGUAGGCACGUUGUGAUUCCGAUGACUAAAAUUCACAAAAUGAAAAUUCCACCGUCCGAUAUGAUCGUUAUAGCGAAACAUGACUAUGGUAUAAAAUCCAACUGUAUCUGGCGACAUUUGGGGAUCGAUCGAAGAGGUUAACCCUAACCCAUCGUCACUUAUCACACGGAAAUGUUCUUAGCUACCCCUCCGUGACUUAGUUUGGUCGAUCUUUCCACACAUUAAACUUUCACAUAGAUGAGAUGUAACCACCCAUGUAAAAAUUAGGGGACGUUUACUUUCCGAUGAUAGGGCUCCCCAUAGGGAACAUUUAGGGUAAAUAAGGUUGACCGCUUUGAUCGGGGCCCUAACGUUGCCGAAUUAAAGUGAUUUUUCUACUAUAGCCGUAUUUUACUAUUCCGAUCAUAUUUUAUUUCACGAGAUUUCUGAAAAUUUUGCUUUCUAUGUGUAGUUGUACUACAAUAAUUUUACACAUUGAUAGCAUUUUAUUAAUAGUAUUUAUUCACUAAGUGCUAUAAUUGGCUAUUCUAACCUGAAAAAAAAAAGAAAAAGAAAAAGAAAAAGAAAACGCUAUCUAAAGUCUCGCUCCGAUCAAAAUUCAAAAAUGAAGGCGGGGUCUAUAUUUUCAUUUCCCCUUUCCCACUUAUCGUGCCCGCCCAAAUAAAAAGUUAAAACACUCAUCAAAUCCGCCCGCCGCAGAAAGGUAAAGAACUUCUCCUUCUUUAGUACCUCAGACAAUCUCUCUCCUAAAUCCCAAUCCAUCUCUGCCGCUCCCUCAACCGCCGUUACGAUCUCCGCUCGUUCUCAACCCUUUGACCCCUCCUCUCAAACCCCACACUCGAUCCAAGUCCUCAAAGCUCUCUUUCCCCUAUUCCCGAAACCCUAAUGGGCGAAAGCUCGUGGAGGCCAUGGCUAAAGAUCCGAGGUCGGGUUUGGAAAACCUAAUUGGCAAAUGGUCUUCUGGCGUGGGAACUUCGAUUCAUUUUUCAUUUUUGGAUUUUGUUUGACGGUUUGGGCGUUCGGUUGUCAUUAUUGCUUGGAGAGUUCUUUUGUACCUCUUCAUUUUCUUUUGGAGAGUUCUGUGACUUUUCGUUGGUAAGUUUAUAUUUUGAAUUGAUGUUGUGGGAUUGGGUAAUGCUAGAUGGGUGAUUUGUGUUUUCUUUUAGCUGAAAAACAAAGGAACGAGUUGGGUUUCUUGUUUUUGAUUAUUAUUAGUACACAGGGCUGCUCACCUGCGGGAUAACAUUUAAGGGACGGAAAGGGACGAACUCACGACAACCGUUGGAUUGUUAAUGAAAUGAUCCGAUGGAUGAAAAAACAUAAGCAUUGAGACACGAAUCACACUAUAUUCAAACUCGUUAUCCUUAUCUUGUCUCUUCGGCCAAGAGCGCUUCAGUCCACCAAAGACUCUUGCUCAACACUCUCUUACUAUUUGCAAGUUCAAAAUCAAUGGAGAACCAGAGAGAAUUUCUGUAAAAUGAAUGUGGGGAUUGAUCAGAGCCGGAGAGAUAGAGUUUAUGCGAGUGAAGUUGGGGAUUGAUCAGAGUUAAGGAGCUCAAACGAUGUUACUGCCAGCACCAACGAAAUCAGAGAGUUCCUGUACAAAUAUGAUGAUCUUCGAUCCAGUUAAGAAAUUAGAAUCAUUGGUAAUUUUUUAAUAAUGAAAAUGGGUGAUGGGUUGAUAGAGAAGUUUUGAUGGAUGGUGUUUCUCAUUCAAAAUGAAAGAAUUGACGAAGUAGCCAUGGAGGAUUGGAGGGGAAGAGGAUGGGUGGAUUGGUUUUGAACAUCAAAUCUCUGAAGUCUUUGCCUAUUGGAAUUCAUCAAUGCUUCUGGACAAUUAACCCAAUUCAUAUAUAUAGGCUACUGCUAGCCAAUUGCAUCGAGAUUUUCCCAGUGAAACAGAGGAAGAAAGAGAAAAGCAAAUCUGAGAAAUGUAGUCUUAUGAUGAUGAGGAUUAAUAAGAAUGGUAUAGGGAGAGGCUCUGAUCGUAAAUGGCAUAGGAUUAAACUAGAUGAGGGAGGAAGAAGAAAAUGAAUUUGAGUCGGUCUUCGGCCAAAGAGUGUAAGAGACAGGUUCGGCUAAGGUGUUUUUGAUUAUUGUGUUUGCUUUUGUAUCCAUCGGAUCAUUUCAUUAACAAUCCAACGGUUGUCGUGAGUUCGUCCCUUUCCGUCCCUUAAAUGUGAUCCCGCAGGUGAGCAGUCCUGUAUUAGUACAAUAGUGGUGACUCAGGUAGUAUGAAAUACCGAAUUCAAUGCUUGGGUGAAUUCAAACUAUUUGGUGACUUUUGCUUGAAAUUAGUAUUUCUUAGGACUUGGCUGUUCAGUUUCUUUUAGCAGCAUUAUGAAUGAAUCAAAAUUUGGGAUAUUUAAUUAUUCGAUGGAAUUUGAAGGCUCAAAGUGUAUGAAUCAUUGUUUUCCUUUAGUGUUUUGGAGUAUACUUAUGGUUCUUUUUAAGCUGUUAUAAGCUGAAAGGAUAAGAAUCCAACUGAUAUGGGGCCAAUAGUAUUUGUUCUUCUUUUCUUGUCCUUGACUUUAAAAGUGAGAGUGUGAUGGUCAGGAUACCAUUGCAUUGAGAAUUUUAAGAUCUUGGUUAUGAUAUUGGUAAUGAGUUAAUGAUAAGAGUAUUUGUGCAACUACGUAAGUAAUAGAUUUAUAUUCUUUUGUUAUUCGAUGUUGGAAUCAACUGUUAGUAACUGUGCCAGAUAUGAGGAAUUGGUCUUGAGUAUUAAUGCUUUUUAUAUAAUUUCAGUAAACCAAGUAGUAUUAGAACUUAGAUUUGAAAUUUUGUUCUCAAGCGUGGGUAACUGUGAAGGCUCUUCUUUGUGUUUUCUGAUUGCUGUUGUUACUGUGAUGAAGCAAUUUGUUGCCUGUGGAGUUAAAAUUUAACUAGGUAGGUGCCUGUUUCAUUUAGAUUAUCUAUUAUAGUAAGUACUAUAUAUUGUUACCAGAGGUAUAGAAACCUACACUUCAAUAAUAACUGGCUGCUAGAUUCCCCCUAUAUGUAUAUAUAUAUAUAUAUAUAUUUUUUUUUCUAAAGUUUAGAGACAUAUCUCUUGGUUUGGAGGAACUCGUGGCUAAAUUUAAAAAUGAUGGCUCUUUCUUGGCUUUGAAGUCUGCAGACUGACAUUCCCUGGAUCAAAUUCAGGGAACACCAUACCCUGUUGCUUACGCUGUUUGGCGAUAAAUAAAUUUAUUUGUUGGCUAGGUGAAUAAAGUACUUAUUAUUGUUUAAGUUUCUGGAUGUGUAUACAAGUACUUAGAUUCUGGAUCUAUGAGGACACAUCUCUGGAUAGCAGGUAAAGGCAACCUGAUUAUGUAUAUAUUUAUAGAUUGGUUUAUAAUUGCACAGGAGAAACAACUGGAGCUAGAGGAUAGUAAUGAUUUUUUGUAAAUUAUAAAUUUGUCCUGAGAAAUUCUCAGUUAUGUUCAUGUAAUUGGAAUCUUGUUAUCUUCGGUUAUUACCGGAUACUGUAAUUAAUCUUUAGAAGAAAAGAGAGUGAAGGAGCAGAAGAGACCAGAACGUGAGGUGACAAAUGAGCAAGUACUUCUAUGGUAUGAUCAGAAGAGGUAACAUUUACUUACUAAUACGUCUUACAAUGAGAUUCAUACAUGUGUAGAUUAAAAUCUGGGUUUAUUUAGAUAAAGAGUAAUUUCAAUAAUUUAGCAUAUUGCAGAAUUCUAUUCUAUAGCCAUCUAGAAGUAAAUAUUGACUAUAUGAUAAGUGGUUGGAAAGGUUGGAUUUGAAAGCAUGUCAUAUAGUCAAUAUUUGCAUUUAUAUUUUAGUCAUAUCAAGGUAUUGUUGGUUUAAGCAUUUGUAUAUGGAAAUCAUAUGUAUGAGUUGGUAUAUGGAGGCAUGGGAUGAGCCCACAGAAUUGAGUGUCUUCAGGACAUCAAUCUAUGAUUUGAUCAUUGGUAUCACUUCAGGUAAACUAUUGUGUUUCUGCAAUUAAUAUAGUUACUAUUGUACAGCCAAGUGUUGAUAUUGUCUAUCCGUAGUAAUGUUAACUAUAAUGAGGUUCAGUUGCUUUGUGUAUAACUGUUUGAGCCAUACGUUUCUAACAUGGGUUUAUGCAGGAAGACUGUGAUUUUCUUUUCCAUUUCAUGCGGGGAGAUAGGGCCUCGCUUGAAGAGAGGUGGGGAAAAAUUUCCUUAGUCUCCUCUCAUUGACGUGAAGAGGAGUCUGGUUCCCCUUCUUCAAAUAACCAGUGACGGCAAGAUUACAAAGACGGGGUGCUUGUCUGGGUUCGUCGGGGAUUGUCAAUUUCGACAGAUUCUUAGCGCUUAACCGACUUCAAUAGUUUCGUUUUGACUUCCUCGCCAUUAACUCCGGCACUGUUUUUGGUUGCUUGGGUUUUACAGUCCCAUUUGCAAAGGGUCAGGGUGUUACACGGUGCUUGACAUGAUACAAUGAUUUCUCUAAGGAACCCUGUUGUAAAGGUUUACUACAAGAACCAUGUAAUUGUAAGUGAAAAGCACAGAUUAUUCUAGUCUUAUCAGUUUGGAAGUUAAGCCUAGAGGGUUAUGAUUUAUGGCUUGUUGGGUAUGCAAAUGUGCUUUCUUACCUUCAUUAUUAUUUUUUUCAGGUGUGUCUCUUUGUGUAGAUAACCGAUUGUGUGUCUAUAUAUAUAUAUAUAUAUAUAUAUAUAUAUAUAUAUAUAUAUACACACUCNNNNNNNNNNNNNNNNNNNNNNNNNNNNNNNNNNNNNNNNNNNNNNNNNNNNNNNNNNNNNNNNNNNNNNNNNNNNNNNNNNNNNNNNNNNNNNNNNNNNNNNNNNNNNNNNNNNNNNNNNNNNNNNNNNNNNNNNNNNNNNNNNNNNNNNNNNNNNNNNNNNNNNNNNNNNNNNNNNNNNNNNNNNNNNNNNNNNNNNNNNNNNNNNNNNNNNNNNNNNNNNNNNNNNNNNNNNNNNNNNNNNNNNNNNNNNNNNNNNNNNNNNNNNNNNNNNNNNNNNNNNNNNNNNNNNNNNNNNNNNNNNNNNNNNNNNNNNNNNNNNNNNNNNNNNNNNNNNNNNNNNNNNNNNNNNNNNNNNNNNNNNNNNNNNNNNNNNNNNNNNNNNNNNNNNNNNNNNNNNNNNNNNNNNNNNNNNNNNNNNNNNNNNNNNNNNNNNNNNNNNNNNNNNNNNNNNNNNNNNNNNNNNNNNNNNNNNNNNNNNNNNNNNNNNNNNNNNNNNNNNNNNNNNNNNNNNNNNNNNNNNNNNNNNNNNNNNNNNNNNNNNNNNNNNNNNNNNNNNNNNNNNNNNNNNNNNNNNNNNNNNNNNNNNNNNUACCACUAUAUUAACAAAAUGCCACCAUUCCAAACAAAUACGUACUGAGCACAAUCUAAUGAAGACAGCAGCACAUAUUCAAUAAAGCAAAAGUGAGGCACUCAGUCCACAAGCAAGCAUAACUGGGUAAUGAACUCUGAUUUAAGUCAACUCUGGAAUAUCAGAAACAUCACCACACUUCUUUCUUGAGAACAAAUGAAACAUAGGGAAGUGAGCUUCACAAGCUCAGUAGGUACAGAAGAUAAUCAAUAGUACUAUGAUUCAAAUUUAGAAUGCAAUUGGAGUAAUGUGAAAGAAUAUCAGUAGUAAACGGAAUGAAAUAGAAUUAAAUUAUGAAGGUUGCUGCUGAGAAUUAUGAGAAUGGAAUCAAUGACUCAAUUGAUAUAAGGUUACUCAGCUUUCAACAAAGAUGACAUUCAGCUUGGGACACUUAAAUAAACAACUGAACAUGUAAAAGAAACAACGAACUGAGACCAACACUUUUGAGUCACACUCUGUGACAUUAGAAAAUUAAACCCAACGCAAAUCCGACAAUAGCAAUAAGACCAUAGUCUUCUUUUUCUUUCAAACACUUUGUUCAACGUUCAGAAACCCUUAUCUUCUUUUCCAACGAAAUCCUUGAAAUCCUUCCUUUUCCGGUUAGAGCCCAUUGCUCGUAUUAAGGCCAACGAGCACACCCCGUACAAGAGGAAAACCCCUCGUAUUAAAGCCAACGAGGACACCCCGUACUAAACGGAAUCCUGAUCAUUACAAAACUGUUGGUCUAUUCACCCUAGGGAGGCACAAUCCCUACUUAACUUAUCCUUGGCCUAAUCAAAUAAUACCGUUCAAAACCAAACAUGUCCUUUCUGUAAACCUUUUGGCUUCUUUAAGCCAAAACAAUCAUUAAGGGAUUUCAAGAGACUGAAAUACUCUUUCUUAUAGAGAAGUUUUGCCAUGAAGUAAACCUUGAAAGGUAAAUCUCUUUUUGUGUUUGUCAAGAAACACAACUUUAACAACUCAUGCUUUAUGAAAAUCAAAACGAUAGAAACACUCGAGCUUGAGACUUUAAAGCAGCAGGCAACAUAGCUUUGGGUUCAGAUAUACUUUAAUGAGGAAACAUGUAAGCAUGAGAAGUAAAGAACCACCAAACUGAUAGUAAACAGGAAACUUAACAGGAAAACAAACAGGGGUAUACAUAUAGGUCUGGAAAUCUCAAAAGGGGUACAGUACGAGACAAACACAAAAUCAGAAGUAAGGUAUUGCAAAAGAAUGGACCUCUGUUUUCUAUAAAAAAAACAAUUGAUUAAAUUAAGUUUUGACCCCAGACUUGAUGAGGAAUCAGAACUUCAUUUAACAACUGAACAAACAAUGCAAAUAUACAUAUGUGAUUUGCUCAUCGCAGCAACCUAAGCUUAGUAAGAAAAGCCAGGGAACAAUCUGUUUUCUUUUUAGUAUUUGAAACUUUCCCCAAAUAUAUGCAUAUGUGAAGGGACCUGGUGUAUACUUAGUAAACUGAUAAUGGACAUGGAUAUCUGUUCAAACUCGAAGGUAAUUUGCAGCAAGACUAGUUCACAAUAUGAUUUGUUUUAAGGAAUACUACCAGUUGGAGUGUUUUUAACGUUUAAUAAGGCAAUGACCAAUAAUCAUGUGAAUUCAAAGAAUCAUUUCUGAGAUAAAACUUGAUGAUAGGAUCAUUGGAAAGAUGGGAAGAGAAUAAGAAGCAGGAACUUAACACGCUGCACAAGCUUUGCUAGAAGGGAACAAGAUAAUAACAAUGAAACUAGACUGUGGCCAUAAUUUUAAGAGUUCCUGAAAUCUUCAGAUUUCAGUUUUGGUUCAGCAACAAUGUUACAUAUGUACUGGUGGGUUGGGAUUUAGGAACACAACCAAACAACAAAGAAUUUGAUAAGAAUUAGAGCUUAAUAAGGACACUAUCAUGAAGACUAGCAUGAAGAGCUUUGAACGAAUGAAUUCUGAAUACAAACGAACAACAAUAAUUUGAUAGGAAACAGACUCAAAUGCAGCCAUGUACAGCUUCCUCAGAAAUUACAAAGUGCUACUACAGAACAAGGUAGACAUAGCUCAGAAUUUGAAUAAAACAAUACUAUACUGAUAAGUACCAAAUUCGAAGGAGUCAUGACUGCAACUUAACUUGAGAAGAAAGAAUUUAAACAAUAUAAAAAGACAAGGUCUGCUGUGCAUAUUUCAAUGAUUUCCGAAUAAGAUACUCAAAGGCUAGUUUAUAUUCAUGAUCAAGACAUCCAAACAAGGAUACUUGUUACUAUGAACAAGUUGGUAACUACAAAUUCAUAACAAUAUCAUAAGAAGGAAUUUAGAACCCAAAGGAGCAUCAUAUCGAUGAAGUUCAAUAGAAUAUCAAGUUGAUGAGCCAACUAUUCUCAUCAACACACAUUUAAAACUAUCACAGAGAAAACUUCCACAAACACACCAAUAACAUGCUAAAUUAGAAUCACAGCAAUAAAGAAAAGUUGCCUUCCAUAUCACAAAUCUUACAUAUCAGUAGCCAAGCAUGUCCAAGAGAAAUCACGCUACACAAGCACCCAAAACCAUUUCCAUCACUUAAUACUAUUAGAUUUAGAUUGUUAAAAAAGUUUUUAUAUUGGUGCCCCUCAGCACCAUGAAUGUCUGGUCUAACCAAUACUAUCAAUGGUUUCAAACGACAUUGAAUCAUUGCUAGUCUUGACCCAUUUUAUAGCUAAUGAACAACAACUGUAUCCACAUUUCCUCAUUAACCCAAUAUCAAUUUGCCACUCAAUUCCACACUUCUGAAUUAGUAAACCAUAAAGCACUACAAUUUGAAACCAGGAGAGUAAAACCUCAACAUACAAAACACCCCGCUAAUCCUAAUUCCAAACAAAACCCAAUACUAAACACUGAAAAACCCAGCUAAUAAACACAUAAAAUCGAAUUUUGACUGGAAAAAAGCAGAACCGAACAAACCAAACAAAGAUAAGUACCAGAUGGAGAGGAAGUGAUUGGAGAAUAGAGGAAGACGAAGACGAAGUUGAGGGCUGCUGUUGGAAAUAGUCGCGGCCUCCUUCAUGGAAAACUCGCUACACAAAUUCUUCUCUAUGCCCAGAAUUUCACCAAGCGCCAAAAGGUAUGUCACCAGAUUGUGCCGCCGCCGCCGCGAUAAUAUCUCAGACCAAAGCGCGACCUCGUCUGCCCACUCGAUCCCCUUUCGAUAGCCCCGAUUCGAUACCAGUUCAGUUCAAUACCAUCAGCAAACGAUCAAGUUAACAAACAAACUAACAUCCCCGUAUUUACCUCAACAAACUAACCCAGAGCCCCAAAUACAUCCCCGUAUUUACCAUCUCUCUAGUUAACGACAUAUAGACGCUGUCAACCCGUGUCAUGCCCGCCUGCUGACACCUGUCCACAAACACCUUGGGUAGAUGCACCCUUGGGUAGAUUCUAGAUAACCAACAUAAUGUAGGCUUCACCAAAGUUAUGUAGAAGAUCUCGACCAAAAAAAAAAAAAAUGGUUAUGUAGAAGACCCUCAAUAUAAUUACAGUUACAUUUGGAGGUAUACUUUAGUGCACCGUAAACAGCAGCACAUCUUUGAACAUUCAUGGAGAAGUACGAAACCAAAACAGCUAGACUAGCUGAUGUCUGAACCUCUCACCAAAUCGUAUACUACAAAUGUCAGCCUUUUUAUUUUUAAAACACCAGAAAUAUUCAAACUAAAACCUGCAUAGUAGUAUGUGUAACUAAAUCUGACUUCAGAUUUUAGUUGAUGUGUGGAAGUAUUAAGUGUCUAAUGGUAAAAUGACCAUGUUGAUUCUGAGAAAUUGAUCAUUUGUGUCCAAAUUUUACAACCUACGAGUAUUUUUAGUAAUUUAAGUUUAAUAUCUAGUAACUAAAUUAGUUUUAUUUCAGAG
rnacentral:lncRNA from 1 species